UGGUGGUGCUCUUGGUGGUACCUCGGAGAGUCCAUGGUUGACUGAGAAGAAAUUAACAAAGAAACGAAAAUGAGGGAAAAGGAAAGAAGAAAAAGGAGAAAGAAGAGAAAGAGAAACUUCUCUCUCUCACUCUCUCUCUCUCUCUGUAAAACUUUUUUGGUUUUGCUUUGGUAAGAAAUGUAUUCGUAGGGCCCUUUUUUUUCUUUGGUUUCUCUGAGAGUGAGAGCAAUAGGGCACUGCCUACGCGCUAUUUAAGCAGUGUGGACCAAGUGACCAACUAAGCAAGUUUUAAAUUUGUUUCAUGACAUUUAAUUUUAUUUUUUUCUCUUGCCAUAUAACUCCAUGUUCAGUUAAUGAUAUUUAAUGUUUUUUUCUUCUCUUGAAUUUAAUUUGAUUUGAUGUGUUAAUGAGUCCUAGUCAAAUGAACAUAAAGAAUUGGGGAUGUAAUUUUUAAUGUUUGGGAUUUUUUACUAUAACUAAAAAAAAUUAGCAUUUACAUGCACACACGCUGUUGACUGUAUUUUCUUUUUAAGUGAAAAUAUUAAUUGUUGUAAUGGAGAAUUUGGAUUCUGCAAAAUAAUAAAUGCGGCAGAUUCGUUCAUUUUAUGCACAUGACUAAUUUAUUCACUGUGUUAAAAUGUGAUUUUGGUUUGCUUGUAAUGUACUACUUUCUUACUCCAUUUUCUUUUGAGUUAAAUUAUUAAUUGUCAUAAUGAAUUAUUUGGACUAAGAAAAUGAUAAAUUUCUCUUGAUUUGUUAAUGUGGGGGGAUCAGAUGGGGGAGAUUCAUUUAUUUCAUGCACAUGAAUAAUUUGUUACCGUGUUAAAAUAUGAUUUUGGUUUUCUUAGUAAGAAAAAUGCUCACAAUAGUGUUUUUAACACUUGUUAUAUGAAGUGAAAAUGUUACUGACAUUCUUUUUUCAACACUUAUUUUAUGAUUAAUUAAAAUUUAUUGAGAAUUAUUAAUUUUAUGAAUCUCACUUAUCAUUUAAUAAUUUUCUCUCUUUACUUAAAUAUAAAAUUUAUUAAACAAAUUUCAGCCAAUCAUGUAAAAAGUGUUACGAUCCUAUUUAUAACACUCCUCUCCUAUAUAUUUUUUAUUUUUUAAAAAAAGCUAAUAUGAUGUGAGGAUUUGUAUAUUUUAUUUGGGUAAUAAUGACAAUAAUAUUUGUUAAGGAAAACGAUAAAUGGACACCCCUUAUUAGUCCCAUAAUGGGAGAGAGAAAAAAUAAUAAAAUAUAAAUAUUAUAAGAUUGUAUGAUAUGAUAAAAAAAAUACAGUAAUGAUAAAAUUUAAAAUGAAGGGAUACAUAAGUAUAAAUAUCAUAACUAAAUAACUAACUGUACAUAUACAUAACAACUGUAUCCUUUUCAUAUGUAAAUGGAGACAAAAAAAAUUUAAGUGUGCAUCCUCAUAUCAAUUCAAUAAAAGAAUUAAUUAUUUUUUAAAAUCUAAAUGCAUAAAUUUUUUAUUUGCUGAAUCCUUUCUUUAAAAGCUUAAUAAUAAAAUGCUUAUUUGAUUCAAAAUUUAUAUAGUUUGAUUUCCCUCAAAUAAACUAUUGACUAGAAUAUUGUAAAUUAAAACAUAGGUGUUCAAGAUUUUCUACUCCAUUAGAUGAAUUUAUCCAAUUCAACUCAAGUCAAAUUAGUUAAAAUCUCACAUGAUUUUUAGAUAUUGAGAAACUGAAAAAAAUGCAUAAUAAUAAUUCUUUAACAAUAAAAACCAUUAGAAAUAUACAUUGGAUCAUUCAUAAUUCUAUUAAAACAUUCUUACAGUGAAGUAUUUAAACUGAAUGGCAAAUACUCUAAUUAGAUUUCUUUACUUCUUAAAAUAAAAAAUUAUUUUUAAUGAAAUAACAUGUAAAAUGCUAUAUAUACUAUAUCUAACAAUGAAUUUUUUUUCUUCUAUAUACAUUAAGGUCAAUACAUCAUGCAUGUAAUUGCUACUUAAGUCAACUUUAUUAAAUGUAAUAACACAAAAUUGAAUGAUGAUAAUAUUAAAAAAUAUUUAUUAAUUAAACAUGUAUCAAUAUUAUUUUUCAAAUAGUUUAUAUUUUUUUUCUUGUUGUCAUGAAAGUGCUUUGUAGCAUAUAUAAACAAAUUUCACAUAUUAUUUUCCCUAUGACAUUUAAAUAUCACAUUACUAUUCUAAUCCAAGUAAGACCAUUGUUGGAAUAAUUUAACAUGAUCUUUGCUUUUGAACCCAUUUAGAGAUUAAUACACUAUAAUGUUUAAGUUUAAACAUAUUCCUUAACAAUAAGUAAAAGUGAUUAAAACAUCUUUUAAACUAAUAAAAAAAACUCGGGUAUGACGAAAAUGGCAACUCAAUAUACAUUCAAAAAAAUUCAACUAACUUUCUAACAUUUAUCAGAAGGCUAAUUUGUAAAUUAUAACACUUUAUGAAGGCUACUUGCUAUACAAAGUCAACAAGGAAAAAAAAGUAUAACACAUUAUAACAUCAUUCAAGCAAUAUCAGUGCUUUCGAAAUUCAAUAUCCACCAUCCACCUUUUAAAGAAUAUCCUUUCUUAGAAAACUACUCCAAAAUUUGUCUAUUUCAAUUGUAUUAACUUACGGAGUGUGUGUGAGCUCUGUAGAUCGAGUAUGGUACAUCCACUUUUUUUAAGUGUUAAAAGAGCAUGGAAUCAUGUGUCUUUGAGGGAAAAAAAGGUGUUUCUUAAGAGAUAAUCAAUGAAGAUCUUUGUUGUGUCUCUUAAGUUAAUUACUAUAAGAGUUAGUGUUUGUUUAGAAGCUUUGAAGUUAGUGUACAAUUUGCAAAGGCUUUCUGAAAGAAUAUUAGUGUAUGCUUAAGCCUUAACAGGUUAUGGAAAGUAGAAUACUUGUGUAAUCAAGGUUUAUUACAAUCUACUUCUCAUAACUUUCCAAACGCAAAAUUUUAGCUUAAACCUUACAUAUAAGAACAUUUUAUUGAGCUUUAAAAUUUUAUUACAAUCCACUUUGUAAUUAAGUGAUUAAUUAUAAAUAUUGGUGACAACAUAUUAUUUGGUUUAAUAAUAAUGGGCUUUUAAGAAUCUUUUGAUGGUAAGGUGUGAAAACUGAAUGUAAUGCCUCUAUUUUUAUUUUUAUUAAAGGUGCUUAACUAUUUAUGAACAACUGAAUGUGAACUCAAAAUUAUGAGAGACAUAGUUCGACUCAAAAACAUUGAAUGUUACUCAGUUGUAACUUUUAAUAAUUUAUUCGGAAUGAUGGAAAAAUACCUAGAACAUCCUAAAACACGGUAUUGGGUCAAAAUAAUAAAAACAAUCGAGUCAACAGAAAAUAUUCUAAAUUACUAAUUCAAUUGGUUCCUCUAUAUAUUUAUAUUUAGUUUAUUUUAGUCUCUUUAUUAUUAAAAAAUUCAAUUUAAUCUCUUAAUUUCAAAACUGAUACAAUAUUUUCCUUUUUGUUAACACCAUCCCAUUUAAUUUUUUAACAAAGGUUUCCUAGAUGGCAUUUUUUUUAUUUUGCCACAUAUACAAAAAGAAAAGUUAACGUUGUUUCUUCCAAUUGAAUAUAUGGAAAGGACAACAUUGUAUCAAUUUUGAAAAUUACAAGGGACGAAAUUCAACUUUUAAUAAUUAAGGAAUCAAAUUCAACAGACUAAAUUAUAAAUUUAGCAAAAAAUUUAAGCUUAGAAUGUUAAAAUAUAAUUGUACUUUUUAAAUAUUUUUGGAAUUCAUAUGCAAAAUGACCAAAAUACUUUCAAUUGUUAGUAAAAUAAGAAAAAGCUAUUUUAACCUAUAAACAUCAUAUUUUUAGAUAAAAAAAUAUGUAUAAGGUUUUAUUUAUGUAUCUAUAACAAUUCAUAAUUAAUUUUUAUUUUUCUUCUGUUAAAAAAAUGGAAUUUUCUUAAUUUUUCCUAAAAAUACAAUACAAUUAAUUAAAUGAUAAUUAUUUAUUUAUUUAUUUAUUUUAGGACUAAAUGUUUUCUCCUUAACUAGUACUUGGUGAGUCAUCAUUACAAAUAAGCAUUCAAUUUUUAAUUUACAUUUAUUAUCCUAAUUAAUUGACAAUUAUAUGAAUUAAUAGCAAAAAAGCAAAAUUUAAAAUAUACUACGGAUAAGAAACACAUUAUUGUGGCAUGUCAUGCACAAAAAUUAAUCACAAAUUGAGAUACAAAAGGAUAUUAUAACAAACAUUUCCAAUUAAUGUUAAUUAAACUAUCAUUAAUAAUGUAUAAGAAUGCAUUCAUUGAUAUUAAAAAUGAAAACUUUCUCACCUCUCUUUCUUUUCCUUCAUCUACACACACACAAAAACACUUUUUUUCACCUUUUCAUUUCUUUGUCACUAAUACAGUAAAACUAGUUAGUUCUUGGUAUUUAGGAGCAAAAAGUCUCAGUUUUAUUGAUGUUAUUGGUGGAAGCUAUUCUUUAGUCCCUCUCUUUCUCAUUGUGCAAGCUUCUUGAGGUAUGGGGAGUGACAUGUUUUCUUAGGUUAUAUAGAUAUUGGUUUGUUGUUGCCGCAGGUAUCAUCAUAGGUGGUCCAGACAAUAUAUAUAUAUAUAUAUAUAUCAACAUAGUUGAGAUUAGUGAUAAAAAAAAACAAAGUUGGGAUCUUGGUAGUUUUUUUUUAUGCAUAUGUGCAUGCCAAGCUUUUAUUUUAAAAAAAAAAACAUCAGUCGGUUAAAAUAUUAAUAUCUCUAUGAAUUUGAUACAAUAUUAAGUGGGUUGAGAUUUGGUUCAAAUAGAAAGGUAAAGACAAUGAAGUACUGCUGGUAUUGUCUUUUAACCAUGACAUAUCAUGGGAACCAUGCAACGAAGUACGAGUAUGCGUUAUAUGAGUCAUAAGUCAUAUGCAUAAGCCUGAGUUUGAGAAACAUGAUUAUUGAGAGAAAAACAUGCAAAGAGAACAUGUGUCUUUAUAGAGAUGGGAAAAUUAGAAUUUUGAUGGAUUGAUUGACUUGGUGUGUUUAUGUAACUUAUUUUACUAAAUAACUUUUUAUAAACAUUAAAUUUAACUAUUGGUUCAAGAGUUUUGAGUAAGUAGAUAAAAUUUAUGAAAUUUUAUAUGAUUUUAAAAUAUUUGAUAUUUUAUCAAUUAAUCUUAUUACAGCAUAUAAUAUACUUUUUUAAAAUAAAAAUAUUAAUAUUGACUCUAAGAUCGUGUAUUUAUGAAAGUUCAAUUUGUUUAAAAUCUAACAUACAUACAUUUUAUUUAAAAUCUGACAUACAUAUUCAAUAACAUAAUAUAGCAUGGCUUAAUAAUUAGAUUUAAAACUUUGUAUUACAAAAAAUUAUUGAGGAAAAUAAAUGUCUAAGACUUAUUUUUAUCUUUAAUAAAAUUUUAACUUAUUUUCUCAGAAAAUAUCUCAUAGUUAUAAUAAUUAAAAUAGAUAAAAAUUGAGGUUGAGAUAUUAAAUCAAGCUGAGACAGAAUCACACUCAUCGAGUAGUACUAUCGAGAAAGAAAAAAAAGUGAAAUAGUAAGAAAUAGAAAAUAAAAAGUGGUGGAACUUAAACACGCGCCUACAAAAGAAGGUGGGAUUGAAUAAAAGGGGUUCCAAAUGGUAAGGUUGCAUUGGUGAUAGUAAGAAUUUUAGACAAACAUGAGUGGGGCUGUUGUUGUUAUGUUAUGACAGAGAAAAACAGAAAGCGUCAAAAAGAGUUUAAUAUUUGGCAUUGACUCUCAGGCUGCGCCCAUGACAUGAUGAUUCUGACUACGGCAAAGCAAAGCAAAAUACACCCUCCUAGUGCCUUGUUUGGGACGACUCAUAUUUUCAUCCACUUUUUCAUUAAUGGUAACAACUCUCCUUAUGCAAUUAAUUCCGGAAAGGAAAGUGUCUAACUAACCAUAUCAUAUUUUUAUUUGAUUUUCUUAUCUCCAACAUCAAGUUAAUCCAUUCUCAUAGUAAUAAGAUUUUUUUUUAGGUUUAGUUAAUCUUUUUGGUCUUUAUACUUAUCUCACCUUCAUGUUUUAUUCUUUAGACUUAAAUCUUCUGUUAUUUUAAUUUAUAUACAACCAAUUUUUUCAUAUUUUAAUGUCUAAUGAUGUUGGUAUACUCACAGAGAAAAUUUUAUUAUUCAUAAUGAUCCUUCUUAACUUAAACAAGAAUAUUUCUUGUAUAUCUAUCAUAAAUUAAGUUUUCAAAACAGUGUAAAAUCAUAUAAGAACUAGUAAAAUAUAAAAAAAUUUGUAGGUAUAAAAAUUUGAUUUGCAAGGUGUGGAUAAGUGUAGGCAUCAAAUGAUUAAUUAUUUAAUAAUAACUUGUAAUUUCACAUUUACCCCUUAUGUCCCACUAGCAUGCUGAAAACAUACAUACAUAUCACAGGUUGUUCAGCCUUGUAAAAACUUAUUUGGUACGGUGGCAGUUAAAGAUUCUUAGAAUUUAUUGUCCCCACCCUCCUCUAUGAUAUGUAGAUGAUAAUUUAGUUGCUAAAGUUUGUAAACAAAGCUAUAUCCGGUUUUGUCUGUUAAGGAUGAAAAAGGUUAUGAAUUGGGGUAUAAAUUUAAUUUUUUUCCAAAUUAAGAUUCAUAAAGAACAGAUUAGACAAAUGUCUUGGUUGAUCCUUCCAAGUUAAGGUCUUGCAGAGGAGAAGGUCCGAAUUUGUUUUUAUAUGCCAAAAUGUUAAUGCUAUUAGCAUUCACUUUCCUAGUAUUACAACAGUAUUAGAAAUAUUUUUCUUAUAAUCAUUAUUACCUAACAAUCCCUAUCUCUCCUUCUUGUCCUUCUUCUUCAUCUUUAAGAUGAAAUAAUUGACUAUUUCUUACCUUCAAUAAUUUGAUAACCAUAUGAAGGAUCAAAUUCCGUUAGUAAGAUAUCUCUUCUAGAGUUCCAUUUGGGGUGUUGAUGUGCAAAAUAAUUCCCUUCUAAUUUUUGUUCUUUGUAUUAGAAAAGUGAGGAGAGAUACAUAAAGCACCUGAUUGAUGUGGCCGGAGAUCAUAGAUCUCAAAGAACAAAAGAGUACAAUAAAAACAACUCAUACUAUAAUUGAUUGAUUUGAUUAAAGAUACAAUGAAAAUGUGGAAGUGCUAUAUAUAUAGAACUUAUUUCUGACAAAUUAUAACAACUCUAAACACUUUUGAUUACUUGUCCAACAAAAAGAAAAUUCAAUUUUGAAACAGUUGACUAUUUUUAUGCAACCUAAUAUUACCUAUAAAAAUACUAAUGAAGAAAAAAAUGACAGUUAACGACUGUUAGAGAGGACAAAAAUUUCUGAAGUUCGAAUUCCAAGUUUGAUUAAAUCAUCAAUGCCAUUGAGGUGGGGUGCUAAGAGUUUGAGGACAUUCUUUUCAAAUACCUUUGCUUUUCUACAAGUCAGACAUAUUGAAGUUGAUGCUUAAUUCCCAAUUCCAGAAUCCUAAGCUACAUUUGCUGGCAAGAAAAAAGUGAAAGUGAGUGGUGAAUCCAAUUCCCCUAAUUUUUUUGUAUUAAAAUAAAAGGCUAAAAGACUACAAAUGCUGUAAAAUGAUGGGAAGAAAAAGGAAGGGACCACAUCACAGUGUCUAAGUGCAACAUUUAGCAAAAUAUCGAGGUGCUCUAAUAAUCGAAAAAGAGUCCAUUUAUGUUUCGACAGUGCUACAUGUAGCCACAAAAACACGUUUUACCACAAUAUUGAUUCCAAAGAAUUGACAAGUUCGCACGCAUUAUGAAAACGUAAAGUUCUUUAUUGCUGCACAUGGUCGUACGUUUCAUACACUACAUUUAUAUAUUGAAAUUUCAAGUCUAUGGAGUAAGGAUAAAAAAUAAUGUUAGUGGAUAAACUAGAAAACUUGUUGGACAUGUUGUAGGUCAUUAGCAAUUAACUUUGUCAACAUCUACCAUUAAUGUAAGAAUAUAAAAGUCAGAACAUUGAAUAUUAUAAAUAAGGCUUUCCGAAUUAGUACUCAAUCAUUUAGGAAAAAUACUAUCAACCCAAAAUAUAAAGUCUUUGAAAGGCUUAUUGCCUGAUAGAAAAGCAUACCGAGAGGAGCUAACUAUAUAUUAAUUUAAAUUGAACUAUGCCAAUAUGGUAGGCGAAAACUCAUUUAAAAUUAUAGAGGUUUUGAAUAUUUCAAUUUUCAACCCCGUAGGAGGGAUCCAUAUGCAAAAGAGGAGUAAAAAAUUAAAGCAAAUAAAAUAGCUGGAAUGACGUUAGGAUUGGCUCCUUAGUGUUUCUACAAGAAGAUGCUAGCAUGCCCAAUUUGAUGACAAGAUAAAUAGUUAUUUCUAGUGAGAAAAUCAAUCCUUUGAAAUUCGAAGGAUAGAUAUAAUAAUUAGAUGAUACUAUUAAACAAGCUCAUAAAGUUGUUCUUGAGAUAACCUUUCUUCUGACUAGUACAGUACUAACAUGAUUGCACGCUGAAUUUUUAGAAGAACUUUAAGUUUUACUGUAAAAUUCUUGCCAUUGUUGACAUUGUUUAUUGUCCUUUUACCUUUGAUCUCAACGUCCUCAUCUCCUAUGCCUACAAGUCCUUCCUCAUUCGUUGAUCACUUUCUCCUUCUGCCCUAUUGAUUCCUAAAUCCUCUUUCAUUUUUUAUUCAAUUUUCUAUGUUAAUGACUAUUCAUUGAAGAAAUUAAAAAAAUAUAAUUGAUGUUGGAUUAGCUUAAAUGUUUAGUUGUUUUAUUUGUUGUGCAUGCAUCUAUUUUUUUUUAUAUAUAGGAAUUAAACACAGCAUCAAAUUAAAGAAUUUAUAACACUUAGUUAUUAUCUUGUUUAAUCAAUUGAACUAAGCUGCUUUCAUAAUUAUUAAUGUGUUCGGAUUUAAGUUUAAGAUUCACAUUUUGUAACAAUUCCUGUCUAGAAUCUCUCAAUAUGCAAAAAUAAAUAUUUUUUAUUUAUGUUCUGGAACAUAGAUCAACUUAAAGCAAAAAGUACACACUUAUGCGUUAUUAGUGGACUCGGGAGCACCAAACCAAAUAUGUUAGUAUUUGUGUUUACAACUUUUCUUUUUUUGCUUUAAGUAUAUUAUUGCAACAUUAAGACUUCCUUUUGUCUUGUUACUUUUGUGUACUUAUUAUACAUUGCUCAAAUUAUACUUCUCCUUAUUUUGUUCGUCUGUUCUCAUUUGACUUCUUUUGAUCUCAAAUAGUAUAGAAGAAGUAACUUCACCCGAGCUAAGCAAAUGCUCAUAACAGACAACUCAAGGAUACCUCUUUUCAGAUAAAUAAUUGAAUGUUAUAUUCCUGAAAAAAGAAAAUUAGAGUUUACACGCGCAUUAGUCAAUAACUCAUGAUUAACGAUUUCUGUUAAGUAAUGUAGUAUAUGACAAUAUCUAUUCAUUACACUUUGUAUUUUCACAAGAACAUAUGUUCUUUUCUAUAUUUUUUUACUUAAAAUGAGCCCUAAAAACUAAUGCUAAUAAAACUAUUUUGAAGAAUCUUUAACUAAACUGAUAAAAAAUAAAUAAAUUAAUGAACCAAUUAGAUCUUCAUCCUUUUGAUUAGAAAAAGGGUUGAAUCAAAUAGUGUUCCGUUAUUUGUAGCGGUGAAAGAAAAUUAUGUCUACAUGAUUAAUUUGUCAUACUUUUUUAUAUGUUUAAUGAUUAAAUUUAAAUUUAUUAAUUCUUAAAAGAUUAAUUUUAUUAGUGUCUCAUAUUUCCAUUCACCGUCAUCUCUUCCCUCUAGGGUUUCUCCUCUUCUCAACAAUGGUUGCCGCCAAGAAGACCCAUGAGAGCAUCAACAAGAGGCUCCUUCUUGUCAUGAAGUGUGGCAAAUACAUACACCCUCGGUUAUAAGACCGUUCUCAAAUCCCUUAGGAGCUCCAAAGGGAAAUUAAUUAUCAUUGCUAACAACUGCACCCCUUUGAGGAAAUCAGAGAUUGAAUACUAUGCUAUGUUGGCAAAGGUUGGAGUUCAUCAUUACAAAUGUGGACUUGGGCACUGCAUGCGGCAAAUAUUACAGAGUGUGCUGCCUUAGCAUAAUAGCAUUAUUGAUCCUGGUGAUUCGGAUAUCAUUAUUAAGACAUUGCCUGGCGAACAGUAAAGUAGUGAUAAAGUUCCUUGCUUGUUAUUUUCUGGUUUUAUUUGAUUCAGAUUUUGAAAGAAUAUCUGAUUGAGUUGUAGACUUUGGUGUAAGGUGCAUGGUUUUUGGGUAUUCUUGAUGGGUAAAAAAAAAAACUUCUUGAACAAAUUUGAUUAUUUAUAUAUAAAAAAUCCAAAUAUGCUGAAGAAACUUGUCAGAGGGAGUUUUUCUUUAUAUAUUUUUUGUUUCGUUUAAAUAUGUUGAUGAUAUUUGUGAUACUAAUAUUUUUUUAAUUUAUUGUUAUCUGAUUUUUUUGAAAUUUAAUUUUUUUAUCUGAUAUUGUUUAAGUGAUGUUUGAUAAAUUAAUCCAGUUUUAACAUACUAAGAUUAAAAAUAGGUAUCAAAAGCAAAAUUUAAAAAACGUAAAGUAAAAUAAAAAAAAUUAGAUAGUAAAUUGAAAAGGAAAUAUAUUAUAAAUAUGAAAAAUAUAUUUAAAUAUUUUUAUUUUAAUCUAAACUCAUAUAUAUAUAUAUAUAUAUAUAUAUAUAUAUAUUAAAGAGUCUUUUUUUUUUCAAUAGCAGCGACAUGCUUCGGAUUUCAAGGGAUAGGCCAAGAUUCCCUGCAAGAUACACUCACAAAGGAUUUCUCCAUAUAAAAAUUACUCAUAGUCCCUAUGUGAAUAGGGAAUUUCCAUGGGAGGAAUAACCAUUAUGGCGUCAUGGCGUGUUUACAUUUUAGACAUGAUGAAAAAUAAAAUAGAAAUCAUAAGUUAUCGUCUUAAUAAAUAUCACUCUGAUAUGAAGAACAAAAAAUAGUCCCAGUCUUAUUUUUCAAACCUUAGUAGUUGAUACAAGUAGUUCAGAACUUACGUCUUUCAAAUGAAAUUUGGGGUUCAGUCUUCAAAUUUAGGGACAGAAUUGUAAUUAGAAAUAUUACUUCAUUCAAAAUGGACCAAACUCAAAAGAGGAAAACUAGUUGAGAAUUAAAUAAAAGCUUCAUAUACCUCCAAUUUAUACUAAAACAAAAACAUGAAUCAUCCCUAGAGUAUCCAAGUAUCUGGGUAUUGAGUAUUGAAUGCAUAUCCGAUACAAUAUCUAUGGCAAAUGCAAAUAUGUGUGCUUUAUAGUAUAACCACCAAAUAUAUAGAACCAUGUGUAAGCUCAAGUCAUUUAAUAUAAAAAAAAUGUGGAACAUUAUACCCACGUUUUGCAUUGUGGAAGCUUCUUGCUUCGAUAUGAGGCCAAAUUUUUAAGUUUGUCCCAAAGUUGGACACAAAAGCAUAGUAUGCAUAACUGGACGCAUUACACUUCCUAUCCUAAAACAACCCACUUUGAGAAAGUUAUAAUAGCCGUUGGAUGCGUGUUGUUUUAAAUCGUGCGGUUCUUUUUUUGUAAAGGCUAAACAAAUAUGUUGGAAAACCAAUCGCCCCCGGACCCAAACAAAAGUCCCAACUUUUUUUAUAUUAAAUAUAUUGAAGUAGAAAAUUUUAUAAUUUACAUUCGACUAGGGUGGGGGCUUUUAUCAUAGAAAAAAUGUUUUUAGUUGUUAUAUUUUAUAAUUUUUUUAAUGAAUAUUUUAGUCUUAAGUUUUUUAAAAAAAUAGUAUUUUUAAUCUUUCACACAGAUACCAUGUAAGAAAAUAGUGUUAAUAAAGAUUGUUCCAAGGGACUAAAAAUAUUUAUUUUUAAAAUUUCAAAAAUUAAAAUGUUCAGAUGGUAAAAUAUAUGAAUUUUAUAAAAUAAAAGGAUUCAAAACAUAUUUUUCGAUAUAACUUACAUUCAAAUGUUGCAAAAGAAAAGUGGCAAAACAAAUGUUGCACAAAUGUAAACAGAAAAAGGAUCUAUUUCAUCUUUCCCCCACCCAAUGUUUGGGCAUAAAGCACGAAUCUAUGAGUGAAUUAAACAGAAGUAUGUCCCUACUGUUCCUCAUGUGCUGAAUUGACUUCCUUAAUUAUUGGAGUGUUCAGCUCCUGCAAUUAAUAUUUAGUGUUCCUACUAAAAAACACAUCUCCCAUAGGUUGGUAAAUGAGAUAAAACAGAUAAAUGUACCUAUUUUAGUGUGACCAUGAGCUGACACAAACUUCAUGAAGCUUUCGCAUAAGCAUUUCUUCUUCGACCUAACAACCAGAACCAAAAAAAUAUUAACACAGAAAUAAACCAAAACUAUCUAAUUGUAUACAUCAGGCAACAUCAUCAAAAGGGGCAACCAAUUUAUAUUUGGACAUAGACAGAUUGCUAAAUCCCAAAACUCAACAUUAUGAUCCAGUCCAGAAUUAGAACAACUUAACACUUUAACAAGGUUUUCCUCUCCACUUCUGUGGAAUAAACCCAUUUGCAAUUGAUGUUACUGAACAUAAUACAUAGCACGUAUAAGAUUAAUCAGAGAAAUAGUAGAUAAAAUCAAUAGGCUAGAAUAUUUUGCAGCACGAAACUGGAAUCAAAGGGUCUAGGUUGAUCACAUAAUAAGUUUACCAUCAGAAAUCAUUAGUAUCACUUUGCAAAGACACAGGAGUAGUCUACAACGUGAUAUAAGCAUUUUGUGCAGAGGAUAAAUCAGACAAAGAGCUGAUAAAUAAAUUGGCCAGAUUGUUAUGCUGCAAGAAAUUAAAAUCAAAUGAGCCAGAAUUAUGAGUUAAUAAUUUACCAUCAUAAAAUAAUAACACAUUGUAAAAUCAAUAAUUUUACCCUCUUAGUCACAUGUCGUGUUCACAACUUGACAUCGUUAGCAGAACAAAAGAGUUGUUGCUUUCCUAAAUUUGUAGCAGAAUAAAGCAUAUAUAAACAAGUGGUGUAAGAAAACAAAACCCAAUACCCAAGUAAAGAAUUUCGAGGAGAAAAUAUUACAACCUGAAUUUUUUGCAAUUCAUGUAACAUUGAUCUAUAUGGUUCCCUAAAGACCUCAUUCUGCUUGUCCUUAUGCCUGUUUACCAGAAACAUAAGAAUAGAAUAUUAAUUAAAAAACAGUUAAAAAAAAUAUAGCAGCAAUUAAUUAAUGAGUUAACCAGAAAUUCACAAUGAGUUAAUCAUAUUAUGAAAGCACCCAGGGUAGAAGGGGGAAUGUACAUCAAUAACUCUCCAGAGGCUCUCUUGUGUCAAAUUUUCCAGGUUCCAAUUUCCAUCCUGAUAAAGAUAAAAUUAAUCAAAAGCGAAAGGGAACAUUUUUGCUUAAUUUUGGGACAUGUUAAACGAGGCCCAUAAAAUAUAUGGCUUUGUGUGUGUGUUGUCUUCCAAAGAAAGGCUCUACUCCUCUCUGGGCCUACAAUGGCCCAAACAAAAGAGCAGAGUCUGUUGAAAAUGCCCAUUUUUAGUAGUAGAUUAUAAUAUAUAUAUAUAUAUAUAUAUAUAUAUAUAUAUAUAUAUAUAUAUAUAUAUAUAUAUAUAUAUAUAUAUAUAUAUAUAUAUAUAGUUUUGCACAUAAAAUUAAUAAUAAAUAUUUUUUUAAAACUUUUUAUUUAUUAAAUAAUUAUGUAAAAAAAAAAAAUCAACCCCUUUAAUACGCUUCUGAAUUCGUUUUUGAUCUUUAUUCAGAGGUUUCAAAUCAUGCGUAAUUCAUGUCCCACCAUCACCUAUCCAAUCAUCUGUCCAGAAGCAAAUGCUGCUGCCAUCUCCUAAUUGCCAUUGCAAAGAUUGUGAGAUUUUUUCCCAACAGAAUUUACUACCCUCUUCCAGCAAUUUGAGGAAUUUUUAGCAAGUUCCAUGAGAGGUAAAAUCUCCACAUCGGUAUUUACCUCUCAGGGAACUUUACCCAUAAUUUAUCCCUUAAUGCAUAUUUCCCAAGCCAAGUUUUGCAUAUAAGCAUCAUUUAGCUAGAAAGGUUUAUUGCUACAUACACACAAGUAAAUCUGUUCAUGCAUGACAUUAUAUUGCAACUUUAGUAAGUGCGGGAUGGACAAGAUAAUUACCAAUUACCAUACAAUGUGAAGAACUCUUCACAGAGUUCACAAUCAUGGUAUCAGUGGAUUAAUUUUUGUGGGAUUAUUUCAAUUUAACAAAAAUCUCAAGUUAUGAAUGUUGUGUUAAAUAUUUGAAAGAAAAAUUUAAAUAAAAAUGUUAAAAUACUUUUUUCGUCUUUGUAAAUUAUUAUUUUUUCAUUUUUAUCUUCACAAACUUAUUUAUUUCGUUUAAGUCCUUACAAAAUAUGUUUAUUUUAUUUUUUUUCUUUAAAAUAUUUUAAAUGAUAUUUUUUCAUUGUUUAAAAUAUUUUUUUUACUAUUCAAAACACUAUUUAAGGUGUCUAAUAGACGAAAAAAAUAAAUAUAUUUUAUAAAGACUAAAAAAAUUUAUAAAAAGACAAAAAUAUAAAAAAAAACACUAAAUUACUUCAACCAAAAAUAUAUUUAUAUGGCAAAAAGAAAUACCUGGGUUCUACAAGAAGAAAAAAAAUACUGUAUUGUAUUAUUCAGGGUUUUGAGUCUUUUGACAGGACCGGUGAAGUAAAAACCGUGGUCCAAAAAAUCAUAUCUUAGCCUUGAUAUCUCCUUUUCCUUUUACUCAUUGGGAUCACAAAAGUAAAUUUCAUUAGAAGCGUCGCGAAAUCGAGUAAUGAUUAGGAUGUUGUCGGUCGAUUUGGUUAAAAACAUUAACUAUUUUCCUCAACUAAAUAUGCCUUGAAACAAUCCAACUUGAGGUCACGCAUUCAUAUUGAAGGGUCUCAUCUUUUUCUCUCUUAAACCCUAAUAAUGAUGUAGUGGGCAUUUUUAAAAAACGUUUUCAAAAAGUUUAUAUCAUAUUUUUUGAAUUUAAUGUUUAAACAUUAAUUGUAUAAAAUAUAUUGUCAUCUAAUCACAAAUUAUUAUUUUAAUUAUUAUAAAAUAAUCAUUUUAAAAUUUAAUAAACUCAUCAUAUAUAAUUAAUUAUAAUUAAAUGACGGUAGUGCAUAACCUUUUAGUAUGGUAUUUUUUCUCUCUUACUUUUUGGUCCGUUCCAUAGAGUCUUUUAAAAAUUUGGUGUUACCGUCUUUUAGCAAUCUGUAAUUAUCCAAAGUCGAAAAAUCCAGUUUGUAAUUGAAGUCAAUUUCGUUAAUGAUUUGGUUACCUUGGAGGUAAUUAGGAAUUUGGGGGGACCCAAACUAGGCUUAUCCAUAUAUGAUAUGGACCCAUGUUAGUUGUACAAAUCCUAUGACCUGUGUACACCACACUACCUACAUACAGACCAAGGUUUAACUUCAAGGCUGGAAGAAUAAUAAAUGUGUAUGUAUCUUAAUGGAACAAAUCAUAGCUUAAAGAAGGAGUGAUAUUGAACAUGAGUGUGCAGAUAUAUAUAGCUUAAUGCUUGUAUUUGGUUACAACAGAAAUGGACCAGGGAAAUUUUGAAAGGAGACAAGGAAAGAAGGAAGAGAAAUCGAGAACAGAUAAAAAUAAAUAAAACUAAUAAUUUAACACCGUGGAAAUCAAGAGAGAAGAAAAAAAAAAGUGAGUCUCACCGUGAUUUAGAACAUACUUAAAUUGUAAUCUAUGUAUUAUGCGCGGAUUUUAAAAUCAAAUCCAAUAGCUAAUACAAACAGAAAGUAAAAGACAGGAUGAAAAUGCUUGCAAACCUUUCUUUGAUUUCAAUGUUUGUUUAUAACGUUUAUCCACAUUUAUACUUACUUUCUCCAUUGACAAAUGAAAUUUUCUAUAGUAACAUAUUUUUUCAUGUAAAAUAUUUAGUUGUUUUUUUUGUUCCGUAUCUAUUAUCAAUUGUUUUCACAUGGAAGCCAAUUGAUUAUCAAAUUUGAUAACCAAUUGCUUUAGAUUUUGAAGGAAGACAAUCGAUUAUCAAGUUAGUAAUCAAUUAAAAACUGUUUUUUAUUCUAUUCAGAUUUUUCUCUUUAUUUCUCUCAAGCUUAGCAUUCUUAUUUUCAUUUAUUUUAUUAUUUACUUUUUCUCUCUCUCUACCAAAACACAUUCUAAGAAAGGAGAAGUGAUAUCAAUAUACCAUUGAACAAAUUUUAUUACACUUUAUAUUAUCAAAGUUAAAAUUUAUUAGAAAUUAUAAAAUUCUAAGUGAAAGUUAUUGAAUAAGAAUAAAUAUUAAUAAAAUUUAAUGUUUUAAAGAAAUUUUAGUUAUUAAUAAAAUGUCUUAAAAACAAAUAUAUUAAAGAGUGUGUUACUUAUAUUUUUCAACCUGUAGUUACUUUUGAAUGUCAUAAUUUUGUGUCAUAGAUAUUGGGCCAGACUAUUUAAAUUUUCUUUUCAUUUUUAAAAAAGUGUUUUUUAAUAAAAUAAAUAAUUUAUUUUCUUUUAUAAGUUGUUUGUUUAAACUGUUUUUUUAAAUAAUUUUUUAAGAAGUAAAAUCCUCGCUAAUUCUAAAAUAAGCGCUUUUAAAAAAAAUUAAAAAAUGUUUAAACAAAUGAGUCCCAUUGGGCUAUGAAAAUAGCGUGUCCCACGUAAAUAAUUAAUAAUUAUGUACUCAAUCUUACUUUUUAUCCAAAUCUAAACAAAGAAAGCAGUAAUCCUUAACCUUUUUUCUCCGUUUUUUCCAUAAAAUUUUUGCAUUUGGAAAAAGGAUUUAAUGGAUAGGAAUAAAAGGAAGAGAAAAAAAUAUAAAUAUUCCUUCUUUUACCUUAAACAAUAGUACCAAAUAAAGUUAAUAAAUCUUGAACGUACUUAUUGUUUUGUUUGCUUUUUUUUCUCUAAAAUAUCAGACUGAAAACUAAGGCAAAUAUAAGAUUAGUUUUUUAAUUUUUGUUAAAAAUAUUUUUAUUAUAAACAAAUAAGUGUACGUGUUUAGUUUAGUUUAUAUAAAGAAAUUAUUUUUUAUUUUUUAACUUCCUAGAAGAACUUUUGAUUAAAAAAUAAAGCAAAUGCAGUAAAAAAAACAAAUAUUUUUUAAAAUUAAACAAUAUGAAAUUUUUACCAAAAUAUAUUUAGUACAUUUUACUAAAUAUUUAAAUAUUUUUUAAAAAAUUAAACAAUUUUUAUUUUUUAACGAAAUAUUUAUUUAUUUUCUAAAAAUAUUUCAUACUUUUUAUUUCUUUAAAGACACUUGCCAGUCUUUUUUUUUUUUUUCUAAUGCUAAUAGAAGGCGAUUCAUUGGACGAAAUCUAAAUUCUUUUAUAAAAGCCAUGUUUUAUAAUUCGAACAGAAAUCAUUACACUCAUUACCCAUACAUGUUUUAUCACUUACAAAACAUACCUGGCGUGAUACAAGAUAAUAAUGACUAAUGAUACUUGGAAAGGAAAGGAAUAAAAUUCUCUCCUCUUAAUCCUUGUAAUAAGAAAAAUAUAUUAAAAAGUUAUUGUCAAGUUUAACUAAAUCUGCUUGUGAUAAUAAUUAAUAUUUUUAUGUAUAAAAUAAUAAUCUUCAAAAUUAUAUACAGAAAUUAUUAUGUAAUUAAAAAUGCAAAUUUUUUAUAAUAAUUGACUCACUUCUAAUUAGUUGAGUAGAAUGGCAAAAUCUUUACAUAUAUUAAAAAUUAAAUUUAUUAUAUAUAAUAUGAAAAAAAAAUAACCAUAAUAAUUACAUUAUAAGAUAUUGAAUAACAUAAUUCUCACAUAUAGUAUACCAUGUAAUGAUUAUAAUAGUUUAAAAAAUUUACCCGAAGCCCUAAUGUGUUCUUGAACAACAGUUUAAUCUUUACAACAAGUUUCUUGUCUCUCUACCUUAUUUUAUGUGUAUCUCUGAUUAUGAAGAUACAAGUUUUAUUGUGUGUUCUUCCUUCAUGGUAGAAAGUUUAAUCAUACAUGAAAAGUGACUCUCUUCUUUACAGUAAGUUUAUAUUUAAAAUAAAAAUUGACUCUUUAACCGCUCAUAACCGUAUUUUACAAAGGGAGAGGAGAGGGAUAAUUUUAAGAACUAAAUUAAUUUCACUAAUUUAAUUAUCCUUUCAUAUUUAAUAAUCAUCACACUAAAUAUCUUUUGUAUAAACCAGCAAUUUAAAAUUACAUGAACCAUUAUAGAUUAAAACCAACAACACCGUCAAUCCUCUAUAACACAUUGCAACAUCUUCAUCGGGACAAAGAAUAACCUACUCACACACAGACUUGUAUGGAAGGUUAUCAAAGGCGUACCCAUUACCAACUCAAAUGUCAAUACAAAGUUGAGAACCCUAUGUAUUAGAAGUAGAGGCUUUUGAGAAAGUAAUAUUACAUUACAUCAUGUUACAAUUUUAAGAAUUCGUACAAAUGGUUUACCAAGAUACAAUUUUAGUCUUUAAAAUUAACGAAAUAAAAAUACAUACCUCGAAUUUUCUUUAAUAUAAGUACUUUCAGGGCUUGUUAAGUGUUUACGAGAGACACCAUAUAAAAUUGUCACAAUUUUAAGAGCAAGAAAAUAGUUUAUUGUAAAACAUUACUUGAAGAUCCAGAGUGAAAGGGCUAUAAACGUCAUUAUAAUCGUUUAGAGCCUUUUUUUUGUAGGUUAAGAGCCUCGUUAAGAUAAACUAAAAACGAAAAACAAAAUGACUUGGAAUAUUUAACAUUUUUUUAUACAUAUGGAGUUGUGCAAAAUUAUUAAUUAAUCAAUUGAUAUAAUAAUGUAAAAUUCUUUUAAACAGUCAUUUUUUUUUUAUCUUUUAAGAUUCAUUCUUCCUUGGAGCCUCUUCUUCCCUUUCUGUCAUUUAAUCAUUUUCCUCAUUCGUACGUUGCUAAACAAAGACAAGAAACGGCAACAAAUUUAAACUAAAAGCCAUAAACAACAAUUCUUUUACACAAGAAUUAAUUUCAUACUAGAACUAUCCAUUUCAUACGUACUGUCACUCAUUAUUGUGUAUGAUCAAUUCAAGCCCAGAGCCUACAAACGCAAAACCACAAAUAAAAAUGAAGACAAACAAAACAAGGCCAGAAAGAAGGCAAAUUAGAGACAACACAGCUCUAUCAUAUAACUUAAAAUAACUUGAAAUAUGAUAUAUCCAUAAUUUCUUGCAUUUAAUGGCAAUUGGGCUCAAAUGCAAGAGGCCCAACAGUGUAGAGCACAAAAGGAAGCCUCUUAGACAAGAAAGGCUUCUCGGGCCUGAGAAGAGCACCAGUGACACCACCAUGGAGAUUUGAGGCCUUAAGCCCAUAGGGUGCACUAACCAAAACCACGUUACACUUGUGGGCCCCGUACGUGGUUAUGCUCUUUGGUGCUUCAAUGUAGAAGUAGCCGUUCUUGUCAGAUUUACUUGUUUGAACCAGCUUGUACUUGGUGUUGUUGCAUUGGAGCUUCACAACGGCACCUGCAGUUUUUUUUUUAACACGACACAGUUAUUGUUAUUUAUGUGUCCUUUUGCAACAAGGGUGGAAAAAAGUCAUUUCAUAAGGGGUGAAAAGUGAAAAGUAAAAAGAGUCGCAACAAACAAUGUCCUAUAGUACUUCUCUAUUGUGUUCUCAGUAACCGUGAAAGCUUUGCUAAAAUUGACAAAAACAACUUUAACAUUAAGCUUUCGCUGUUUUGCAAUACCACUUCUCUCUCUUUCUCAGACACACAAACACAUACACUGGUCACGUCAUCAUAGGUUUAUUUUGCUUUACCAUGCGUAAUUAAUUAAAGCUAGCUAAAUUAUUUAUAUAAAAACACUACUACUCAUUAGUCAGGUUUUUAAAAGAACUACUAUUAUAAAAUUUCCUUUCCUAAAAUCAUGCUAGAAAAAAAGUAAACUGAAAUAAAAUAUUUUAAGGCAUGGACACGAUUAUUAUUCCCAUAAUAUUGAAAACGAUGUGCCUAAAUAAACAAGAAAAAUAAAUAGCUGUGCCCGGUGCGAUCCAUGAAAAGCUUCAGAAAGAAAAAGUAAAAUAAAAAACAAAAUUUAAGUAAAAAAAGCUUAGUUUAUCUACUUGGUUCCUAUGUACACUGACAUUAUAAUUUACAAGCAGUUAAAUUCAUGACAGAUUAAGGUUUUAACAUUGUCUACUUAGCUAGUGUAGUAAAGUUGAGGCAUUAGAUGAAAGCAAGAAAGGUGAAAUAAAAAAAAUUAUUACAGUGACCGGAUCUGAAAAAACAAGAACAAUAUUUGCAAGACAUUAUUUUUUUGAAGGUUAAAUGUGUACUAGGAUCGAACAGCAUGCAGAUAAUUAGUUAAUAAGCUAAAAAAAAUAUUUUUUUUUGUUGUCUUCGCAGCAAAAAAGUGAAAACAAGGUUAAGACUAAAGAGUGUUAGUUGAAAGAAGUAAGCGAACCAAGUAGUGGUGUGGCUCCCAAGAGGGUGUCAACCCCAGCAUACUUGCAGGACUUAACAUAAACAACUCCUUGAACUGCGACAAAGCUUCUAGGAAAGGGGUGAACCGGAACAACCGGAGGUUUAACAGGAGGGUGAACCGGAACAACCGGAGGUUUAACAGGAGGGUGAGCCGGAACAGGAGGUUUAACUGGAGGGUGAACCGGAACAGGAGGUUUAACUGGAGGGUGAACCGGAACAGGAGGUUUAACUGGAGGAUGAACCGGAACAGGAGGUGGAUUAACAGGAGCAGGAGGGUGAUGGUGAUGGUGGUGAGUAGGAGGCUUAGCAGGGGCAGGGGUAGGAGGGUAAUUGUGGUGAGAAGGUGAAGGAACAGGUGCUGGUGCUGGUGCUGGUGCUGGAGGGUGGUGGUGGUGGUGGUGGUGGUGUGGGUGAGGAGCAUUUGCUGGUGGGUGAAGAGGUGCUGGUGUGGGGGAGUGAACAGGGUGAGGGUGAGGGUAAGAGGGUGGAAGAGUUUCAAGUUCAAGCUCUACAGCAAACACAUUACUCACAGCUACGAGGAGAAACAGCAGCACUGAUGCCAAGGCUUUGGCCAUUGCUUCAAGCAAGUGAAGCAGAGAGAGAGAGAGAGAGAGAGAGAGAGAGAGGAGAGGAGAGUUGUGUUGGUAUCAUAUGAGUAUGGCAGUGGUUGAUUUAUAGGGGCUGAUGCCGGGAUUCUCUGCGGUUUUUGUUCAUAUCUAUACAAAAAAUUAAGGAUGUAUUCGUUUGUAGAAAAAUAUAAUUAAAAAUAAAUUAUUAUAUUUUAUUUUAAUUCAAAAUUUUCAUGUUAUAUCUUAAUUUUUUUUUACUAUACCAAAUAAAUCAUAAUUGUGAAGAAAAAAAAAAGUUUUUGCUUAUUAGAGUAACUAGUGCUAGCUAGCUUAGGUUUGCGUGAUGAUGGCAUCAGAGUGGAAAACUAGGGAAAUGGUAAUGUGAGGAAGGUAAAUUUGAAAAUCAGAGAUCCCAGGCUGAAUUAAAUGGAUCUAUGAGUCUGUGAUAUAUUACUGCUAGCCCUACGCUGAUGUUAACAUAUUAGUAGUAUUUGGGUAGUAUAGUACUCGUGAGACACAUUAUUAAUUAUUAAGUGUGUAUAUGAUUUUAUAUGGAAGAAUUGAUUUUAAGUUUAGAAUUAAUUUUAAGUUAAAAUAAUUUUAAGUAAUUUUUGUGUUAGAUAAAAAAGUUAUAUUAAAUUUUAUUUCUUAAAUAUAAAUUAUAUCAUUUUAAAAUUAAUUUUAUUCAAACUUAUUUUUUUGACGUUAAUCCAAAACUGCACAAAAUACAAAUUUUUUAAAAAAUAGGUUUAAUUAUAAUUUACUAUCUUUUUUAUGUUUUUUUUUUAAAUUUUGUCACCAAAAUAUUACGAAAUCUGUGCAUUCUGUCUCUACCUCCUAUAUUAAAUCUAAGCAUUUUUGUUUUAAAAUUGGAUGAUAAAAUAUACAAAAUUGUAAAAGUUAAGUAACAAAAUGUGUCUGAAGAAAAAAUGAAUCACAAAAUGAGCGAUCCAGAUUUUGAAAGAGUUGUGACAAUAUGUGCAAAAUCUAUAGUUUGAUAGCAAAUUUGGCAAAAGCAAUUAAGGAAAAAAAAGUACAUGAAUUUUAGUAAAUUUUGAACGGUAAAUAAAAUAUUUUAUAAAAAAUUGUCCAAAAAUAUAUUGAUAGGCUUUUUUUUUGAAACUUUGGUAGUUGGUUUUUGACACUUGUGUAAAAUUUGACUACCUAUAAUCAUAAAACUUUUUUAUUUAACCAUUUUAUAAGUGUUAUGUUUCUAUAAAAAAAAAAAAAGACAUGACAAAUUAUUAACAAAUUUGAUUCUUUAAAAGAAACAACUCGCACUUUUUAGUAUGGAAUUGUGUUAAUACAAUUAUAAUUAAGAAUACGCAAAUGGCAGAAUGAAUGCACAUGCAUAGGUGCUUGUUAUUGCACUUCUUACAAGGCUUAUGUAGAAGUUUCCAAGGACUUCGGUAAUAGCUUUGCGUUUUUUUAUUACUGGCUUUGAGUUUCUGAUAUGGCAUUUAUUAGGGAAGAAAACAGAAAUGACUUGAACAAAAAGAAAACCCACGAAAAGGUCAAAUUUUAUGAACACGAAAGAGGCGACAUGGAAUGAUGGAUAGAGAAGGCCAGAAGGGUUAGUAGCACUUUAAUGUGUUUUAUAUUGGUAAAAUCAACCCAUUUUUUUUGUUGAUAAAGUUAGAAAUCGAAAUAACCGAACACUUACAAAUUAACUGAUUUAAUUAAAAAUAUUUUAUAAAAUUAAUUAAUAAAUAUCAAAUGACAUAAAAAUAUAUAUUUAAUAAUUUUAAUAUUUGAAUUUAUUUGUAAUAACUUUUUAAUAUCAUCUCAAAAGGUAUGACUAUAAUUUUGUAUUACAAAAGAUAGAAUAGUAAAAAUUUGUGAUAAAAAAGAAGAAAGUAACAAAUGCUAUAAGUGAAUUAGUGGUUUUUUUAUUGGAAUUCAAAUAUAGAAAUGAAAAUAUAUUAAAAAUAAUGUAAUAAUUUUAACUAGAAAUAAAAAUAUGGUAGCCUAAUUUAUCUUUUACCUUCAUAUGUUCAAAUGUUAAAAUGAAAUAAUUUGUGUUAGAAUAAUUCUAUUUUAAAAAUAAAUUAGUAAUAAAACUUAAUGUAAUGUUUUAUCUAAUACAAAUUUAUUUGUUUAACCUCAAAACCAAUUUUAAAUUCAACGUAAAAUCAAAUAUCUAAACAUAUAUAACUAGAAUUACUUUUGUUACCAUUUUAACAUCAUGCACUAAAUGGAAUUGUACAAAAACAAAAUCCAGGUUAUGCAAUUGUCAUUAAUGAUAGUUAAACCUUUUGUGCAGACUCCAAUAUAUAAAUUAAACUUUGUUCAUUCUAAACAAAAUAUUAUUUAACAACUUCAAUAAAAAUUGAAUUUAUAUAAAUAUCAUCCUUACUUUUCUUCGUUUGCACCUCAUUUUCCCGUAAAUUUUGAUGGAAAAGGACAUUAAUAUAAGGACAAAAAUUGUUCGGCCACGAACGGUCUAAAAUAAAGCCGUUUGAACGUAUAUACAGUAUUAUCCUGUCCACCUUACAAGAAACACAAUUAGAACACAAAUUAGUUUUUAUUGUUAACUUUUUUAGAUAAACGUUCUUAUUGUUAUUUUAUUUCUUCGAGUUUCGUAAAAGAAACAUCUAAAUAGAUAUAUUUUUUGUUUUUUUACUGAAUAAAUGUAUUAUUUAUUAAGAAGAUUUAGUUGGAUUGAUUCAUCAGCGCGUGUAAUAUAGUUAUAAUGGUUAAUUAUUUUUCUUUUUAAAAAAAUCAACAGGAUAAAAAGGAAAAUAAGUAUAUACUAGCAUUGAAAAGAACAGAAGAACCAAAAUAUUAUUUUCGAUAAUGUAACAAAAAGGAUAGUGAUACGCUCCUAUUGAUUAAGUUUCUGUAUGCAAAAUCAUUGAGCCAUGCUGCAGACAUGUUCUAUCUUUCUGGGUUAGUGAUGGGCACAUCUUGUGUGCUCCCCCAUUAAUAAUAUAUUUUCUUUGCUUCUUAAAAAAUGCUACUUUUAUUUAACAAUUUAUCUUUUUUACAAAUUAAUACAUACUACAAUCUAGUCUAUUAUAUUGCGUAGUUUAGGGUUUUUUUUUUAAUUUGUUUACACAACUUAACAUUAUUUUAUAGUUUUGAACUUUCAUUGUUUAUUGUUCUUAUUAUGGGUAAAAAAACAAAAAACUUAAACAUUUAUUAAUGGAGAGGUAGAGGUAAUGAUUAUUCUUUGUCAGAUUUUGUUAAUCAUUGUCCUAAGGAAAAAGGAAAUAAAAAAAAAUUAAUGUAUAAAUUAUAAAAUAGUGUAAAAAAAAUCAUGAAAAAUAUGGUGUCAGCCUUCUUAAUUUCUUAACUAAUAUCUUUGAGACAUUUAUUAGCAUUUGUUUUAGUUAUAUAUUUAGUAAACAUUUAUUAAAUUUAUUGGAGGGAACUCCAAAAUAAUGCACAUUAAUUUACUAAAUGUAUUAAGACAUGGAUCCCGUCCGUGAAUCCUGGUGCUUAGUUUGUUGUCAUUUGCCACUACAUUUUAUGCUCAAUUUGUUUAUAAGCUUGCCAUGCCCAUCUGAUAACAACUCAUUUCCACUUUUUGGAGUUACAUACAAGAUUGCCGUCAUUUAAUUUUUGAAAAUUUUAUUGAUUAAGUAAGGUUUAUCAUCAAUUUGAUGGAACAUAUAUAUACUAACAUUUCCAUCUAAAUUCUACAAUUAUUAUUAUUAUUAUUAUUAUUAGUAGGAUAAAUUGUAAUUUUUUUCUCCUUUAUAUUUCCAUCUAAAUUCUACCUAUGUUUAUUUAUUUUAUUUUAUUAUAUUUUAAUUAAUUAAAUUAUUUUUAUGGUACCUUAAAUAAAUAUGUUAGGUCUAAAAUUUAAUUGGAUCAAAAUAAAAGAAAUAAAACAUAUACAAAAUUGAGAAAUGAACCUAAAUUAUAAAUUUUGUAAAAAAGUGGACUAAAAUCACAUAAAAAAUUAAACAAACUAAAAUUGUAACUUAUUAUUAUUAUUUUAUUAUUAUUAUUAUUUGAAAAUCAAACAAUUCUCAAAGUCAAAAACAUAAUUCGCGUGUUUUUUUAAAAAAAAAUUAAGAAUAAAAUUCAUUGAUAUAAAAGUAUAACAACCUUGAUUACCUUUAACCAAAUAUAUAGAAACUAUACACAUAUUUCCAAUAAGUAAACUAACAUCCAAACACAAACUUCACUAACCACAACCAAACCACAGAAUUACAAUUUACACCACUCUGAUGUUUUUUUUUCUCGGUUAUUUAGUUUAUGCUUUUAUUUAUUCUUUAUAUAUGUCCCAUUAUAAUGUAAGAAGAAAAAAUAAGUAUUAAAGUAAGCCUUGUUUUAGUUUUUUUAAUAUAAUAAUAACCACUUUUUCCUACUAAUACUCGUAAUAAGUAGUAUUAUUUUAACUUUUCAAUGUAAUAUUAGUCUAAAUUAGUCACGUACAAAACUUUUCAAGCUCAUUAACAGCACCCCGGAUACACAAGGCUAAAAUUGAUUAUCAUGUUGCAACUUUGAUCAUCAGAAUCUGAACAGAUUGAACUUCCAAAAUUGCUCUAAGAGUCUCAUUUCUUGUUGAAGAAGCUAGAUAGUUGACUACAAAAAUGUAAUCAAACCACUAAAUUAAUGAAGGCAAACAUAAUAAAAAAGAAAUUCAUGUCACAAAGUUUUAGGCUAAAACCUUCACAUGGAACAAUCAAUGCUAUCUUCUAGAUCUGUUUUUGAAACUUCUCAAGCAAACAUAUUAAACUUAGUUGGAACUCAUCAAAUACCACAAGCUGGAUAAAUUCAGCUUCAUCCCUACCCAUUGCAAACUAGAGAGUUAAAAAUUUUGACUAACCCAAAUUGUUUGUAUGGGCUUCCUGGGCUGAUUGUUUUGUUGGGCCUACAGUUUGCAAUUUUGCACCCUGUAUUAGUUUGUUGGUGUUGAAAUUUAGGAUGGAGAUGAAAAAAUUAACUAGUUGGAUAUAAUUUUAAGGACUGAUAAAAUUAGAAUACUGAUAUAAUUUUAUUGUUGUAAAAUAUAGAUUUUGUGGCUAAUAUCAGAGCCUUAGAGCUGUACUUCCACACUUUACAAAUGAUAUACCAAUUUUUCUUUAUAAACCUUUUCACCUUUUUAUUUUUCAGAUGUUUCACAAUAUAUAGUUUUUUUCACCUUUUUCUUUAAGAAUAAUUGAAUUUUUUAUUUUUUUUUUGCAAAUAACAGUAAUGAAACAAUAGUUUUAAGAAGGAUAUAUAAAACUGAUCAACAAUCUUACAAGUCUUAUCAAUUAUCUGGUGGGCGACAAAGGAAAACCAAAAAAAGAAAAAACAAGGAACAAAAUCAGUUCUUUAGAAAACACACCCCUGGUGCUUUGGUGCAUCCGCAUGUAACCAAGUGUCAUUAAUCUUUUCUUAUAAAUUGAAAAGCUUAAAUACAUGUCACCUACGUAUAAAUUGGUUGGAACUAUGGACACUUGGUAGUCUGGAUUACUUAAUACUAUUUUUUUGCAAACAAAAGAGAUAGCAAUUAAUCCAAUGUGAAGGGAAGGGGAAUCCAAGAACAUGAAGCUCUGCCCAGAAGUUUAAGAACCCAUGUUUUUUGCCGAGAUAUCCGCAUAUUGAUUUCCUUCUCUAUGGAUAUGCUGGAUACAAACUAUAUUCCCGAUUAUAAGUUGUAACAUGUCUCUGCAGAUUGAUAAAUAAUGGCAGCAAACAUGUUAAAAGGUUGAAAAUUGCGUACCAUUACAAGGUCAUUCGGUUAAUGCAUGGUUUUAUAGAAUUUUAUAUAACUUUGUUAUUAUAAACAAAAUAUGUAUCUUACUAGGUACGUACUGUUUCUUUUGAUUAAGAGGACUAUCAACAACAUAAGCUAGCAUAUUAGUGGUGAGGGCUCUCAGGCUGCCACGUACGUAGUAGGUCUUUGCGACCACAAGGGCAAGGCUAAAGGUGGAUGUGUGAAAAGAGGUUGUUGGGGGCAAGAUCUGAGGUUGGUGGCAUUAAGAAUUAAUUAAGAUGGUGUAACGUCCCUCACUCUGGAAUCUUAAGCUCUUUUUUCUUACGAGUUUGCAACCCAAAAGGUCGUUCUUCAAUUCUUCUACAUGAGUACGUAGGACAUUAGAGUUGAGCAACAUUAUGUAUACUUCGAAGGUCGUGUGUAUUUUACACCAAAAACAAUUUUACUUGAUGAACAGUAUAAAAUUACUAUGAUAAAACUUUUGUUUUAAAUGAUUUAUUUGAUAAUUGAAUUAAAUAAUUUAAUUUAAUUAAAUAAAUAUUUUAAUGAAAUAUUAUUAUAUUCUUCACUGAAAAUAAGGAUAUAAUUAAUAUAAAUAAAAAGUAUUAUUUUAUAAAUAUGAAAAUUGUUCAUGAAAUAAGAAUAAUUAAGAUUCCACUGUGACAUGCCAAGAUCAUAUUAUGUGCUUAGUUGUAAAAAAAAAGUGAGAUAGUUUUUAUUUUCAUAUAUAAAAAUAAAGGAAUAUGAAAUUAUUUUAAAUAAAAUCUCUUUUUUUAAAAUGUCUAAAUUUGUAUAUCUUUAACUUUAUACAUAAACAUAUAUGUAAGAACAAAAUGUACCACACAAACUACAAAAAUUCAAGCUAAAUUUUUAGAUCUGAAAAGUUAAAAAAAAUAGUUUAUUCUUUAGAAUUUGACUCAAAGUGUUUAAUACGUAGAGUCUAUGUAUUAUUAUUAAGAAAAAAUUUGUAUAUCUAUUUAUCGAGUGUAUAAAUUUAUUUAUUUAUUAUUAUUGUAUAUUUUGAAGGUAAAAUAAAUCUUAUUUUUUUUUAUUAUAAGUGUUGAAAAUACUUCUAUCUAAACAACCGAUAUAAAUAUCUUGGGUUUCCUCUUUCCUUGGUGCCAAUUUAAUGUAUUGAUAUAAUUAAAUAAAAAUCACAGGCCUAAUGAAAAAUCAUUAUAAUAACUAAUGAACACAUGCAAGGGAAAAAUAUACAUAAUUAGGAUCGAGCUAUACAAUAUACGGAUCAAAAUUAAUAUCGACACACACAUUCACUAAAAUGAUAAAAAAAAUACCUAAAUGAAUCGAAAGCUGCAGUUAUAUAUCAUAAACCUAAACGUUGUUCAUUUUCAUCAUAUAUAGAGAGAGCGUGACGUAAAAGAGAUAUGAUCACUUACAUCAUUUACUGACUUUUAAUCAGAUACUUUUACUCUAAAAUAGAUAUAUAACCAUAUAUACUUGAAUUGAUAAAAUAGUAGAAUUUAUGCAGUUUCUUAACAGAUCUGCAUUUUCCAAAAUGCAAAUUUGGCAUGGAAAAACCCUCUAAUUUGUUUAGGAAACAGAAAGAGACCUGGAACAAAAAUAUCGAUUCAUGAAUUAAUUUGCAUGCAUCUUCUCUGGAUUAACAAUUAUUGUCAACUACCAGUCCUUCGUUAUUCUGUUAAUUCUUUCUUUCCCAAAAGAGACUUAGAUAUCAAUAUCAUCCAUUAUAUAGAUAUAUCGUAUAUGAAAUCGGAACACAUGUUUAAUAUCCAAACUAUAGUAACAAACUAAACAACCUUUUCAUCAGAUUUCACAAGUUCUAUAUAUAAACAUACAAGUGCGUGCUCACACCCACGUAAAUCGAUCAAAUCUUAAUUGUGAAGCCAACGCAAGACAGUGAAUAUGAAAUUGCUUACUAGAUAAAACGGUGGUAUAGUAUCCUCUUGAGAAUAUUCAAUUUAGAUUUCCACCAACAAUUAAUGCUAUCAGCCAUUGAAAUACUUCUUUAAUUUCUCAGAUAUCCUCAAAGCUCCAUUUGCAGAUUCCCCUACCUGAAAAAUGCAAAAACAAUAAAGUUACAUAAAAUUCAUAGGGCAGAGGGCAGAAAGGGGAAUUUAUGUUUCACCUGAUGACAGUGUAUUGUAUGAAAAACUUCAUUUUCAACAACGGUAUAACUGGCAUUAACAACAUCUGAUCCUUCUUCUUGAAGAACACGAACGGUCUCAUUGAACAUGAAUUGACAAUCCAACCCAGUUAUUAGAAAAACCUCUAAAGUUGAACCCAUUUGUUGGAUUUUAAAUUGUGGAGACUUCAACAAUCCCAUAUUCAUGCUAACAUUUUUUGAUCUUUUAAUGUCUAUUAGGUUGUUCUUUUUCUCCUUCAUUUUCUCUAAUUUAAUCUGUAAAUUCUUUAUGUAAUUUGUGGCUUCACCUAUCUGAUCCGGCCGCGAAAUGGCCUCCUACAAAAAGAUUCAAAUAAAAUUGAGACGUUUGUGUGCAUAUAAUAAUAUAAGAGCAGUUGGUUAAGUAAUUAUAAGAGAAAGAGAGUAAUAAUACCCUUGAGCUUUGAUGAGGCACAACUGAGUUGAGCUUGAAGAAAAGAUCCUUCAAAUGAUUUCUUCUAUUCUGUUCAAUGAAUUUUCUAUCAGUUCUUGAUGAUGAACUAGGGUUGUUCUCCAUUAAUUAAUAUCCCUUAUGAAUGCAAUAGCUCAUCCGCUAGAGAACUCUGAAUACUCAUCAUUGAUUUCAUUAAAAUAUAAUACUUUUCAGACAAGGGUUGCAAGGUAAUUGGAGUUUCUCGUGGCUUUUAGAAAAGCUAGUUAGUAUCAUUGGAUGCUACUGAUAAAGGUUCAUGUGAUAUAGAUGUGGUGGGGCACCAUUUUGUCGGAUAUAUAUACAUUUUUUUUCCUUUUUUGGUUCCUAUGAUGAACACUAAAUAUAAAUGCCCUAUCAAAAUCCACCAAUGUGGGCUUACUAAUUUUGGACCUCCACCAAUGUUAAAGAAAUAUAUACACAUAUAACAGCAAUUUAAGGAUUAAAAUAUUUCUUAUAUUCUAUUAAUAUAUUAUAUAUUCGAUUUUUUUAUUGAUGAUAUAAAACAACAAUGUAGGAAUUUCAGCUGUAACAGUUUUUAGGUGUAAUAGAUAAUUGAAACUGGCAUUUUACGUACUGCUCUGAAGUAGUUAAUGACUUUUUCACUUAUUAUUAUAUCAGAGAUUAUAAUUUUAAAUAAUUACUAUAUAUCUAAUAUUUUAUUGAUACAUACAUAAAAAUGAUAUUGUUGUACCUACAAAAGAAUAAUUAGGUAAUCUUUCUUCUUGCUAACUCUUUGUCUAAGGUCUUAUGCUUCUAGUGAUUGAUGCUUGACUGUAAAAGGAAGGAAACUCAAGUCGGAUUUCAAAUAAGAAUAAUAAACAAGCAUAUUUAAUAUGUUAUGAAUAGUCUUUCCUUGAUAUUCUCACAUGUAGUUAUACAUAUUUUAAUGGGUACUUGAACCUAUGGGCAUGAAUACUUAUGUGUUUUAUAGAUACUUUCCUGAUUCAUAAUCAGGUACUCUGUUAGACUGAGUACUUGGAUACUCUUUAGGAAUAACUUGUUUUCUGUGUGUUAAGGUUGAAAGAUAUUUACGACUAUUCGGUAUGAUACAAUUGUGAUGUACAAUACACCAGAAACAUAUAUAAUAUAAAAAAAACUAUCCUCUAUUAAUGCACAAAAAAAUCAAAACUUUAAGAUUAAUUUACAUCCGCUAAUAUAACGCAAAUUAUCAGUAUAAAUAUUAUACAUGGGUUUGUAUUUUAUCAUUUUUUUGAUAACGAGUGGUUGAUUAUUAUGAGAAAUAAAAAAAUAAUUACACUAUUACAUUUAAUUAACUCUUCAAAUAAUGUAAUUAAUAGAUUAACCAAUAAAAGGUGGUAUAUAUAUAUAUAUAUAUAUAUAUAUAUAUAUAUAUAUAUAUAUAUAUAUAUAUAUAUAUAUAUAUAUAUAUAUAUAUAUAAAAUAAAUAAGAUGUUGCUUUGCAUAUAUAGCUAGCUAGGUUGUAGUGAGAACUAGGAAACAUUAAGUAUGAAAGUAAUAAGACAAAUGCUAAUCACUUGAUUAAAUUAAUUCAUUAUGGUAGUGAAAGUAAUUAAAAUUUUGCGAAUUUCACAUAUACUUUAUUUUAUUUUUCACGACAAUCAAAUCAUUUAAUUUUUUUUUUAAAAAAAGUAUAAUUUUCCUCCUCAUUUUAAUUUUUUCAACCCGAAGACAGCAUAACAAAAAUUUUAAUUUCGUACCCGAGGCACAUAUACCCCAUGUAAGAGGACGAUCACCCCAUUGCUAAGGAUAGAGUUGAUCAGCAUUACUCUGAGACCAUGGGAGAUGGAGUAGUGAUCAACUUUUUUUUCCCUUUUAGUUGGUGGUUAGGGGAGAGUGAUGGGAGGUAUCCUAGGGGAGCCAGAAGUAAAGCCUUGUUUUAGAGUCUAGGGUUUAAAUCCAAAAAUAAAGAAAAAAAAUUAUUAUCUCAUAAGUUAAAACUAGUUUAUACAUUUCUUCAUAAGUAUUUAUAGAGAGAGAAAAAUAGAAAACUAAAAUAAAUUUAUUUCAUAAGUUAAAAUUAGUUUAUACAUAAGUUAAUUUUAACUUAUAAGAAAAACUUAUCUUUUUUCUUAUUAUUCUUUGUAAAGUUUUUAGGGAUAAUAAUCUUAUUUAAAUAGGAUCUUAAUACGAACGAAUUUAACUCACUUGAUUAGUAUUAAUUCUUGUUAUUUCCAAUUUGGAACAAUUAAAUAGUACUGGCAUUAAAGAAAGAAAAUCUGCAGAGUUUGGAUUUCACGAUUAAAGAUUGAAAUGGACGUAUAUCAGGAUAUGUCGAUGUGUAUUCUGCUUUGUACCUGCAAAUUAUUUCAAAUCGUCGCCUUUUACACUUUAAGGAGAGUACUUUUCAAACCUUUGAAUGUAUCUGAAAAUUCACUAACGCGUGAUCUUUUUCUCUAGCUGGAUUUGAAUCUGUUCUAUUUUGGUCUUACAACUUAGCUAUAAUUUUAAGUUUGGGCUGGAUUGCUCCAACUAUAUGUGCAGUAAUCAAAUAUUAUAUCUCGUUUUCAUAAUUUGGGAAAUGGUGGCACUUUCUAAUCCCCUGGAUUACAAGCAACAUAAAACAUCCGCUACAACAUAAUUACUUAACAAGUAUUUUGCUGUUAAAAGAAUCUACUUCAUUUGAUUAAGCAAGAGUAUAUGUGUGAAUUAUUGUCAGUUAAACUAGAGUGUAUGUAUGAGUUAUUGUAAAUUCUAUAAUAUUAUUUUUUAUUUCAACAGAUUAAAAAAUAACUGUAUUUUACUCGGUUUUCAAGCAAAAGAAAACCUAGUGAUGCUGAUUGUUGAAUUUUGCACCAAAUUGAAACUGUGACAAUUUCGCUACUAAGUACUUUAUCAUUCAGGAAUUAAUGUUAGCGGAAACCACCUCUAUGCUCCCCUUUUUACGGGUAACAGUUUUCAAACAAUUAAUAAUAUGUGGCAGUGGUUGAUGCUUGCCUUAUGUCAUGCUUCGACCAAGAGCACUUAUUUUUAGAAUUUUUUAGAGUCAUCCCACACUUUUAAUUGUCAAAAUUAGAGAAUUAAAUUAGAAUUAUGCAUUUUGGAUUUGGCACUUUAAUGUUAAACAUAGAAUCUUUUGGGUUUUUUUGUGUGAUCACCUUCGUUCUUAUGUGAGCCUUUAGCUUCUUAGUUAUUAAUAAUUUGAUCCAUGCUUUAUAGUCAUCCCCACGCUUUAAUGUUUUAUAUAUACAUAGAUAGAUAGACAUAUUUGGGUGUGCGUAGGUUAUAUAUAUAUAUAUAGGGAACUUUGUCAUAGCUAAGUUGGGAUACGCCUAGACAUGGGUAUUAAGUACGUGAGUUCUUAAUUAGGUACGUACCAUGUUCUUUUUUAUGAUUUGGAGAGAUUUUAAUUUGUAUGAAUUGAAAGUUGAUAUACUCGACAGGUGUUCUCUGACUCGUAUAUAAUCAUAAGUUAAUUUUAACUUGUAAAAAAAAUAAUUUCAUUUUUUUAUCAUUUAUUUAUUUAUUUUAGAAGUACUUUUUUAAAAAAAUUAUCCACACAUAUCCUAAAUAGGUAUUACAUGGGUAUAAGUACGUAGUCAUCAAAUCAUUAUAAUUAAUAUACACAACAUACCCCAAAAUAGCUUCACACAUCCAAGUUCUCUGUGUAAAGUAAUCGUACGGCAAGCUAUCAUUAGUGUAAAAAUCACGUUUCAGCUUUUGACGCCAAAGAAACAAAAUGUCAUUGUAGUCUCAACUCAACACGCUAUGCUGUAACCUUUGUGCCUUGUGGGGUUUUAGUCUCCAAAAACUAACACAAAGAAUUGGCUCCUUCAUUUUGUCGUAUCUAAAGAUUUUGCAUGCACAAUAAUUGUCAAGUGCACCCUAUAAUAAUUACCCAUGUUCAUGGCAACUAAAACUAAAAGGAAUGGUGUCCUUAUAAAGUGGUUUUAGGUCUUGGUACUUAAGCCACAAACUGGAAAAAGAAACCAUUGGAAAACGACUAUUCCAGAACUCGAAUUGAAUUUGUUAUGUUGAAUUCAGACACAUAUCUCAGUGAUCUACAGUAUUUAUUGCAGGACAGUGAAACACUGUUAGUAAGCAUUGGCUUUCAUCUUUUAUCAUUUGUGAUGGGUUCUAUUGGGUGGAUAGGGAGAAUUGAACAUUGGAAACCUCAUGCAAAGUAAUAAUGGAAGUAUAUCUUUGGGGAGUUUCAUUCCUUUCAUAUGUGAGGUGCCUCUAUGCAUAUAGGUGGUUCACUUUAAUGAGAUAAAAAUGUCUUAUACUGGUCCAAAGAAUUAUUGUAUAUGGUACAUUUUCUUUUCUUUUACGGGAGACCUUUUUGUUAAGAUGUGACUGUUGGAACUGUCUAACAAAUUAUAAUAGAUAAGAUUUUUAUGUUAAUUCAACCCCUCUUUUUGUUAAGUUCAUAAUUAAUUUAACCCUCCUUUCUUAAUUAUUCUGAGGUCACUUGAUCCAACAAUCAAAGAUGCAAAGGGCAAAGACGUAUUCAGGGUGAAAAUGAAGGCUAAAAGCUAUGCUCUAAAUCUGAUGGAGGAGAAACAAAUAGCUUUUUCAAGCAUGACCACCAAUGUUGAACUAUGGCACAAAAGACUCGGACACUUCCAUCUUGUUGGACUUUUAUACAUGCAAAAACAUGCCUUGGUGAAAGGUAUGUCAAUGCUUGAAGACAAGUUAGCCGAUUGCGCAGCUUUCCAAUAUGGUAAGCUAGUCAGAAAACCAUUUCCUCAAUCAGCUAGGAGAGCAACUCAAAAGCUGCAAUUGGUUCACACAAAUGUUGGGGGACCUCAGAGAGUAUCAUCUUUAAAUGGUAAUAAAUACUAUAUUAGAUUUAUUGAUGAUUAUACUAUAUUUUGUUAGAUUUAUUUCUUUAAAUCCAAGACUAAGGUUGCUAAUAUUUUCUGGAAAUUUAAAGCAUUGGUGGAGAAUCAAAGUGGUUGUAGGUUGCAAACAAUAAGGUCUGACAACGGGAAGGAAUACAAAUAUGAUGUUUUUGAUAAAUUUUGUGAAGAAGCUGACAUUGAGCACCAACUCAUCGUACCUUACACCCCACAACAAAAAAGGUGUGAGUGAGAGAAAAAACAUAAGUAUCAUGGAGAUGACAAGGUGUAUGCUGCAUGAAAAGGAGUUGCUAAAGGAGCUAUGGGCAGAGGCUACAAACACUAUAGUAUUUUUGCUGAAUAGACUACCUACAAGAGUUUUGCACAAAAAAACUCCAUUUGAAGGCUGGUUUGGUUACAAACCAGAUUUACAAAAUCUAAAAAUCUUUGGUUGUGUUUGUUUCUCUUAUGUUCCACUAGUUAAAAAGGACAAACUUGAUAAGAAGGCAGAGCCCGGUGUUUUCAUUGGAUACCGCAACACCUCCAAAGCUUACAGAAUUUUCCAACCCCAAAAUGGGAAAAUUCUUGUGAGUAGAGAUGUCAAAUUUAUGGAAGAUCAACAAUGGAGUUGGGAUGAGCCAAUAAGGAAGCAGCUGCCAGAAAUCCCACAGUUCCUUGAUGAUGAUGAUGUAGAUGACAUUCCUGUUAAAGGUACAAGAUCUUUAUCUGAGAUUUAUCAAAAGAGCAAUGUAGUUGUCCUAGAACCUGCAGAAUUUGAAAAAGCUAAAAAGGAUGACAAGUGGAUAAAUGCUAUGAAGGAAGAGUUGAAAAUGAUCGAAAAAAAUGACACGUAGAAGCUAGUGAACAGACCUCAACACAAACAACCUAUAGAGGUAAAAUGGGUUUAUAGAACCAAACUUAAUCCAGAUGGUUCUAUAAAUAAAUACAAGGCCAGGUUGGUGGUAAAAGGCUAUGCUCAGGUGUUUGGAGUGGAUUUUUCAUAAACCUUUGCUCCAGUUGCACGUCUUGAUACAAUUAGAAUGCUACUUGCCUUGAUUGCACAUAAAAGGUGGAAAGUUUAUCAUUUAGAUGUAAAAUCUGUCUCUCUAAAUGGUUACUUGCAGGAGGAGAUUUUUGUAGAGCAACCUGAGGGGUUUCAAAUCAAAGGAGAAGAGCAGAAAGUUUACAAGUUGAAAAAGGCAUUAUAUGGUCUUAAACAGGCUCCUAGGGCCUGGUACAGCAAGAUAGAUGAUCAUUUUCAGGAUCUUGGAUUUGUCAAAAGUCCAAGUGAGGCUGCAUUAUAUGUGAAAUUGGUAGAUGCAAAUUCAAUCAUUAUUGUUGUCUAUGUUGAUGAUUUACUUGUGACAAGAAGUGAUGAGAAACUCAUAAAGGAGUUUAAAGUUGAAAUGCUUAAAGCAUUUGAAAUGAAAAAUCUUGGCUUGAUGAGUUUCUUUUUGGGAAUAGAGGUGAAACAAGAUCAUGGUGGGAUCCUCAUUCACCAAAAGAAGUAUGCAAGGGAAAUACUCAAGAAGUCUCUUAUGGAGGACUGCAAAAGCACUACAUCUCCAAUGAACCAAAAGGAGAAAUUUAGCAAGGAUGAUGGAGCUGAUAAAGUUGACGAAAUGCAUAACAGAAGCUUAAUUGGUUGCUUAAUGUAUCUUACUGUAACCAGACCUGACAUUUUGUUUGCAGUAAGUAUACUUUCAAGGUUCAUGCAUUGUGCUAGUGAAGUUCAUCUUCAAGCUGGCAAACGAGUUGUUAGAUAUGUUAAAGACACUUUAGACUAUGGUAUAAUGUACUUUCAUUCUCAUAAUUUUAAGCUUCAUGGAUAUUCUAAUAGUGACUGGGCAAGUUGUAUUGAUGACAUGAGAAGCACCUCUGGUUACUGUUUUUCCUUUGGUUUUGGAGUUUUUUCUUGGUGUUCUAAAAAGCAAGAAGUUGUAGCUCAAUCAACUGCAGAAGUAGAGUAUGUAGCUGUUGUUGCUGCAGUGAAUCAAGCUCUUUGGAUCAGGAAAAUUAUGACAUAUUUGCAUAUGAAACAAGAAGAAAGCACACAGAUUUUUGUGGACAACCAGGCUGCAAUCUCAAUUGCUAAUGAUCUGGUGUUUCAUGGCAAAACUAAGCAUUUCAAGAUAAAGCUUUUUCUUCUAAGAGAAAUUCAAAGGGAAGGAGAAGUGAAGUUACUGUACUGCAAAACAGAGAAUCAAAGUGCUGACAUUCUGACCAAGGCACUUCCAAAAGCCAAAUUUGAAUACUUGAGACAAAAGUUUGGAGUUUGCAAUUCCAAAGUCAAGGAGGAAUGUUAAGAUAUGACUGUUGGAACUGUCUAACAAACUAUAAUAGAUAAGAUUUUUAUGCUAUUUUUUAAGAAAAAUAAAAGUCAUAUUGACUAAUAGGAUAAAUCAAUUUUGAUCCUAUUCUUUAGGCAUGAUCUGUUAGUGAUGUUAUCUUUCUAUUAGUCGUUACUUUCUUUUAUAUGUUUUUAAAUACGUUGUUUCAUAUCGAAAUAAAAUAAGUCUUUACCGUCUCAAUUUCUUUCUUUACGUUUCCUUCCAUUCUUUAAUAUUUCUGGCUACUGUUGUUAACAAAAAAAUGACACUUUUUUUUACAUGUGGUAGAUCUAGCUCCAAGUUUUUCCACCCCAUGAAAUUCAUAUCCUAAAUUUUUUUUGUAAAUAGGGUAGUUCAAAAGGCAGAGAAACGACAUUGACAAAAAAUAUUUUGGAUUCAAUUUUUUUUUCUUUUAUGAAAGUCAUCCAUAAAUAUUUUUUAAAGUUCUUGGUAUGAUAUUAUUACGUACGUUAUGUUUUUAUUUGGUAAUUAAUAUGACAACAUCCUGUCCUUAGCCUUUCAAGCUCUUUAUAACUUUUGUUUCAUUCUUAUAGGUACAUUAUAGAUGUUGCUAUUAGUUAGACAAAUGGCAAUCUUUCAUUAAAUAAUUAAUUUAUACGCCAAUAUACUAAAACAAUUUGUUCCUUUAGUACAGCUUCAAACCUAUAUGGUUGAUCCCGGUUAUAAAUUUAUACCACAUAUAGAUUUAUAAGUGAAAAAAGUAAGUUUUUGUAUGGUUUCACAGGAAUAAUAUGAUUUUUGAUGGGCAAUCUCUGGAGCAAGACUGUGUUUUGGAAACUAUCAAACGCAAAUCCUGGUUGUGGUUGGAUUCUUAUGUCAAACAGUUCAAAUACUCCUUCUUCGAAUACUGGCAUUCGAAUGAACCCACUGCUAUGCCUCAAAUGGUUAUGAAGCGUGAGGAAAUUAAGGGAAGCAGGGACAUGGAUAUAAAAAGCUGCAUGUAGAGAUUUAUGAAAUUUGGUUAUGGGUAUUUAUCAUGGGAAAAGGGCUGUUAAAAAUUACCAAGUAUGAUACCUGGGUUUAUUUUGUAAUAUAUGGAUCUUGGGAUAUUCGCUGGUAAAAUAUUUGCCAGGGGAUAUUAUCCUUUAUAUGAUGCUCCUUGUUUUGUAAUUGGUAUCUUUGAUACCCUUAAUAAAAUGUUUGUUUGCAGAUAAAAAGAAAAACUAGAAUUCGUACAUUUAACUAUGAUGUAUAUACAAUAUCUUGCAAACGAAAUUCUAUAUAUUUUUAUUUAUUUUUUUGUUUUUAAUCAUUAUAAGGCUUGAUGUUCGUGAAUUGAAUGAUCAGUUUUAAAGAGAAAAAUUAUUAUGUUGAAUCACUUUGAUUUUCUUAGUUCAUCAUCCAACUAAUUUGAUUCAAAAUUUUAAUUUGAUUUAAUUUGGUUUCAUUUAAAAUGACUUGGAUUGACUCAGUUUUUUAUUUUAAUCCUAUUUUUUCUUUGAGAAAAUAUUAAAUAAAUGGUAAGAUUUAUAAAAUACAGUAAAAAAUAAUUUAAAAUGUCCAACAUUCCAUUUAUAUGUCACUAUAUAACUAAUGAUAGUACAACUUCUUAAAUAUAUAUUAUAUCAAAAAUAAAUUUAGACAAUUUGAUAAUUAUAUUUAUGCAUCAUAACUAAAAGAGUUAGUUUUAUAAAAAAAAAAUCUCAAAGAGUUAGUAAAAAAAUUAUCUUUUAUAUAUUAAAUAUGUUUUUCAUAAAUAAGUAUAAAUUAUAUGAUAAUUUAAUAAAUAUAUAAGAAAUAAAAAUAUCAACAUGAAUGAUAUGAAUUUAUAAUAAAAAUAUAUACAUGUAUAAGUUCAAUUUGAAUUGGAUUGAAUCCAUUUUUAAAAUUAAAUUUGAAAUCCAAUACAAUUCAAUAAAACAUUCCAAUUUUUCACUUUUUUUAUUCAUUUGGUUUCUGGCUGCUUGGACUAGAUUUUUCCCAUCGGAUUGAAUCAUUUUAUGAAUACCCCUAGCUUAAUUGCACUUUUGUUACCGUAAUUGUGUGAUUUAAAUCCUAUACUCCAAUUCUGGAUUGGAUCUUCAAAUCUUACAAUUGUAUAAUUUUAAUCCUCCCAUGAAUAUUUGGUAAAUAUUUAACAAAUAUUGCCAACACACAUUAGAUGAUAAAAUGUCAAUAUCAGUGUUGGCAUAUAUGUUGGCAUGUAUGAUGAUAUUGCUUAAUUAUACUUUUUGUUUCUUAGAUAUUAUAAUUAUGAGUGAUCAUAAUUGAAUCGUGAUUAACAUAUGUGUCAGAUAAUUUGUCAGUUAUUAAUUUGUCAUCUCAUGUUAAGUGAUAACGUUGUUUUGAUAAUAAAAAUAUAUUGAAAAUAUCUUUAAAAAUAUUUAUUUAACAGUUAUUUUUGACUUAAAUGAUAAGAAUAUUUUUGUUAUUUAUGACUUGCAGAUGUGAAAAUAAUGGAUUAAAAGAGAAAAAGAUCGAGAAAAUAUAAAAAAUAUGGAUAAGGAAGAUUUUCAGCAUCAGUGGAUAAGGAAAAUUUUCCGCAUCAGGCCCAAGUUCACUACAACAACUAUAAAAAGAGAGUCAAGCCAAAGCGAUCUAUAAUGUACUCUUCAUUAUUUAUCAAUGAAAUACCACGUGUUUUCUAAUCCAUUAUCUUUUCUGCUUUUAUCUUAUUCAUCUUUGUAUUCUUUUAGGGGUUGUAUGCUUGGGAGAUGAUAACUUCUAAAUAAGAUUAUUUUAACAUCUAGACUUCAUACUUCAUGUAUUUUAUUUGUUGAGUAUUUUGCAAAGGAAGUUGGGAGAUAAAUAAAUAGAAUAGACUUGUCAUCAUGAGGAAUGGAAUUAGGGGCAAGAAUGUGGGUAAAAUAGAAUCACCUAAAUUGAUAAAGAAAAAUUAUAAACUCAUACAUCCUACGCAAACAAGGAAUGUUAGGUUCCAACAUUAUCUGAUUUUCUUUUAUUUUUAUCUUUUAUUUUUCUCAUCUUAUCUUAUUUUUUUAUCUUUAUCUUAAUCUUUUAUUGUUCUUAUCUUUUACUUUUAUUUUCUUAUUUUCUUUAUCUUUUAUUUUGGUCUUUAAAUCUUUGUCUUAUAUAUUUUUUUAUCUUUAUUUUAAAUUCUUUAUCUAUUACUUUUAAAUUGAAUUUGCAUUAAUCUAAGUACAAAUAAAGUCCGUCUGUAUUCGACACUCGAACUUCCAAAUAUUUUAUUACUUGUGACAAUUUGAUACAUUUGUCAACGAGUUGACAAAAUUGAUUUAUAAUUUAACAAAAGAUUGAAAAAAUGAUCAAAAUUACAUAAUUUUAAUGCCUAUACAACCUAAUUUUUCAAUGUAAAAAUAAAAUAAAAAAGUUUUUUCAGGACCAAAAGUCAAGAUAGGAUUUAUUUAAAACUAAAUACAAAAUCCAAAAAAAAAUGAGCAAAAUUAAAAACAUACACAAAUUGGUGCCACGUAUAUAAACAUUUCUUUUUCAUGAACCAAAAACAUGCAUGCAUUGAUGUCGCGUAUAUAAAUUUUGCGUUGAAUUACUGGUACCAACAACCACUAUUGUUUUAAGUUGCUUUAAUGAGAGAGAUUGUGUUAUUGUGGGUUAGAAUCCAUCAUUGAUAAAUAAUAUUUAUGGAUAAAAAAAUUAUUAUUUUGUGUUGCUUUAAUGAUAAUGUAGUAACUAUUAAAUUGAAGCCAGAGUAACAUAAUUAUUUUUGGGCGCCGGGUGACAUCUUCAUCCACCCUUUAACAGAUGAAUGAUGAUGAGAACCCAAGACUAUUCAGUCCUGUCUUGUUUAGAACAAGAAAAAGCCCAAUGACAUUAAAUCCACUUUAAAAAGAAGGUAUACAUCACGGGGCCCUACUGUAAGAACGUUUCAAUAAUUUAUAACGUGACAAUGCUUCCAAAUGCAAUACCACUAACCGAGGGCAUAGGUAAGCAAAAACAUUGCAUUUCGACAAAAACAAAAGAAUAGUCAAAUGUGACGCCAUGACAUUGACAUAGCUUAUUGUCAAAUUACAUCACCUACACUAAGUUUAAAUUUACAACUAUCAUGCUUAGUCAUGCUAUUAUAUACCUCUCCUAAUGAAACAAACCUAGGCUUUCUACACCUCAUAAUUAUAAUACUCAUUUUCUACAUGAAAGGCCUAAUCGAAGCCUUAACAUAGCCAAAACAACUUACCAAUAGAAUUUAGCAAGUCACAUGCAAUUUUUCAGAUUCAUUCAACAUACUUAGCUCGUGUAUGUAAAAGUGCUAAAAGGCAAUAACUUGAGAUGACAACACAGACAUCAAAACUGCUCUUACAACGUCAUUUAAGGGGAAAGUGUCGUGAAUGUGACUCAUUUACAGUCCUCAACAAACAGCUACUAAAUAAUGAAGUUUAUGAUAUUAAGCUUUCAAUGACAGAAUACCACGUGGUAUUGUAACCUAAACCAUAAAUUAGUGAUGAUUUUUUUUUCGUUCAUAUGUAAUGGAAGUGAAUGAUUUGUUUAGUUAAAGAAUUUGUAUUUGAUUAUUAUCGUGUUAAAUUAUUUUUUUUGGACAACUAACAUACAGUAAAAUUAAUCUUUGAUUCAAUAAAUCUAAAAAUAAAUAAAAAAAAAUAACAUAUUAUACAAGUAUUUAGUUGAAGCCAAAGUAGUCGAAUAUAUUACAUAAACCCCAAAAGCAACAGCUCAUAACACUAAGCUUUAGUGUCACAUGCAUGCCGAAACCUACCUGUGCAAGUGUGCAUUAAGUCACUGAAUACUGAGACAUUUAGAUGGGAAAAGGUAAUCAUCAAUAAAAAGUGUUGAUCCAUAUCAGCUACAUUAAUCUUGUUAAAUACUUUAAUACCCUCGUGUCUCAACAAAUAUCUUAUAUGACUAUUUAAUCCAAAAUUAACCCAAAACCAUAUCAGUUAAAUUUUAAGAGAAUUUUUUUGCUUUAAAUAAGUUAUAUAUUAGGCAUUUUUUGUCAAUGUGUAUGAUAAUUUUGUCAAAAUGUGACUUUUUUUACUUUAUAAAAAAUAUCUUUUUGUCUGUAGACUUAAAGUUUGAAUUUUAGUUGUCUUAUCCUCUUACUAGCACCUUACAUUUAUAUCAUUUAUAUUUUUCAUUUUUAUCAAUUCACAAUAAGUUGAAUAAUAAAUUAUAGUGCCAGGUGUUAACCAUCAAAUUUAAUAUCUUAGGUUGAUGACUUGAUUACCAUUCUGACAAGCCAGUGGUAGCCUUCUGAAGAUAUGCUUUAAAUUCAAUUUUAUAAGAGUAAAACAGAACUACAAAGAAAGCAAAAUAAGCAAUUAUGAAAUACACUCUCACCAGUUGAGUAUGCAAGGUUCAUUGCAUCAGUUAAGAAAAUAACACGAAAAAAAUAUAGAAUUAAAACUUUGACAUUAGAGAAACUAAAAAUAGAAGUACCUUGUAUAAUAACAAAUAAACAAGAAAUUGUGUCCCCACCCCUCUAAAAAAAGAAACUUAACCUAGUGCAAUUACUAAAUUGUAAACAGUAAAAACAAAAGCUGUUUUCACCUCAAUGUACAAGCCUACAAAUCAAUUUCCUCUUGCAUGAACAUCAUAAGGAGGACUACAGCUAGAGAACCUCAAAAAACAAACCUUUGGUUUUUCUUUUGGGUAAUUCAAACCAUUCAAUAUUAAUUACAAUGAACCCGGUAUACUACAAAAAGCCAGGCCACAUUGAAGACUCAUGUAAAUUUUGGUUUAGGCACAGGACCAUUAUUAUGAUGCACAGGACCAAGCUUUUGAAUCCAAUGGAGAAGCCCUUUCUUGUGAUCUUGGCAACAAGGAUUUUCCACCAGAGUCAGAGUUCCAUCAUGAGCAAGCGAAGAUUCAAAUUGUUCUAAUACCUUAACAACCUGCCAGAACUCGGGCCUCUUGUCCGGAUGCAAAGACCAACAUUGCUCGAUUAAAGCUCGCAUUGCAGGUGGACAGUCUGAAGGAAUAACUGGCCUUGCAUUCUGAAUACAGCAUCACAAAAGUAUUAGAAUUGCAUAGGUAAACAGUGUCAUUUAGCUAGCAAAAUAUUUUCCACAAUUAUCCAAUACAUGAUGAUCCUAAGAAUUCAAUUUAGCUCCAUUCUUGGUAAUCUUAUCAACUACUAUGCUACAUCACUUGAUGAAACAGAGACAUAUGUAAUAAUGACAUAUAAACUAAUGCAUGCUACAUCAAUUUUUUUUCCUCUUUUUUAAUAAGUUGGUCAUACAUGUCUAGAAUGGAUGAAAAUAAUCUCUAUAUUUCACCAUUGUUUUCAAAGCAAAGGAGGUAUCUUGCCAAGGAUUUUAGCCACAUCUCAAAAAUACAUUUGGUUUAGCUAUAAAAUAUAUAGUACUCAUCAGACGGGCUAUAAACUCAUUAGCAAUUAUUCAGUGGCAAUAUGAUUGAUUUCCUCAGCCAGGAUAAUGAUACCUCCUUUGGCAAUCAUCACUCAACAUAUUGAAAUAAAAGCUUUAAGAAAGAAAGAAAAAAUGAUGAAAAAAUGGAUGAAAAUUGAAAAGAGUAGUUAAAUCAUGAUAUAAGUGGAUGAAGCAUUGCAAAAAGGAAAAAAUGUCCUUCCAUUUACAACAUAAAAGGUUUCAACUGCUACAUCUGAGAGUAACAGUCGCUUUUAUAAAAUACAUUCAAAGAUUGCAAAACAUAUUAGUUAAUGGAGCAUGUAUUGUCUAUCUUCAAGCGAACUGUAUCAUUAAUGGAACCCAUGUCCAGUUUGCAUUACUCUUGUAUGCCAGUCAUUCAGAGAGGUUUGGGCGGAUAAAUGGGGCUGUAGACCUUUUCCUAUUAUUGACAAGAUUUCAAUGCAGAGUGCACAGAAAGCAAUGCAACUUUACAACGAGUAUUGUUACAGACAAUGAAGAAUAAUGCAACAAAUAUUAGUAGAUUGUGACAUUCACAUUACAAUUCAUAUGACUUAAUUGCGAAGAAACAUACCUUAUUUACUACGGCAAAAGCAGCCUGGAUGGGAGUCAUAUCCUCAUAUGGUAUAGUUCCAGUCACCAUUUCCCAUAAGAUAAGCCCAAAACUAUAUACAUCAACCUUUCUCCCAUAGGAUUUUCGUUUGAUCAUCUCAGGUGCCAUCCAGCGGUAGGUACCAGGGUCAUCAGCAAAUAAGUCACAGUAUGCUUCCUCACAAGCAAUGCCAAAAUCAGCAAUUUUAAGGUGAAAGUCUUCAUUGAUAAGGACAUUCUCCGGUUUAAGGUCUCGGUGAAUGACACCUUGAGAGUGUAUAUAUUCCAUUCCACGAGCAAUGUCCAGAGCAAAAGCAAUUAGCUUCCCUAGAGAAAUAGUUUUUCUUUCCAACUUAUGCAAAUAUGACCUCAACGAACCUUCUGAUAGAUAUUCUGUGAUAACACAAUAAACAUGUGGCUUUCUACAUGCUGCUACGAACUGUGUAAUCAGAUCAAGAUAAAUGAGAAGUGUGUAAGUACCAGCCUCCUAAUCACAUUAAAUUCUCUGAACAUGAUAUGAACUGCUCAAUCAGACUAUGGUAAAGAAUAUAAAAUGAAGUAUUCUUGAUUUUACUGGUGAUUAUCUCAACAUAACUAAAGGGUCAAGUACAGUAAUUAGCACAAAAUAAUGGAUAUUCUCACCCUGUAUUCAACAAGAAAAACAUAUAGUAUCUGAACAAAAGCGAAUGACAAAACUUAGAUAAAGUUCAGCAGGUGCGUGUAGUGCUGUUCUUCACUAAAAAUGUGAUAAGUGUCCCGUGUUUUUGGUACUACCUUAUCCUCCUUUAAAAAGGCUUUAAAGUUAAGGUUAAGGUGUAAAAAAACAAUACACAUACCUUGUUUUUAUCAGAAAACAACAACUGCGCCACAAGCUUGAAAAAUGAAGCAAAUAGAAGUUUGUAAACAGCAUAUACAAAAGGAGGUAAAGGAUUGGAUUAGAUUACCUUUAUAACAUUUUGAUGGUGGAGGCACGAUAAAAGCGAUACUUCUCUAAUGAAUUGUUUCUCUAAUCGAUCCACCAACAUUCCAUUUUCGUCAUCAUCCGGUACCGUGAUAAUUUUCACAGCUACAGCUUCAUCUUUAUACAUGCCAUGGUAAAGCCUGCUAUGAGCACCAUGAGCAAACCUAACACCAACAAAGAGCUUGGAGAGGUCAACAUUCCAUUCCUCAGCUGUUUCCACAGCAGUAACCUUUCCCCCUCCAUGAUCAAAGUACUUUGUCCAUCCCAAAUCCUUUCGGUGCUGCUUCGAGCUUAAUUUCAUCGAAGCAAGGUGCCUAAUUGGACUGCUGUAAGGGGAUUUAGUAGUAAUUGGACUACUGCGAGGGGAUUUGGAAUUGGACACAUGAGAAUCCUUGUUGAGCAACUUCCCCAUGAUUCUCUUGUCCUUGUUCUGUUCUUUCCUCCUUGGACCAGGUGUUGAGAACCUCUUCUGCUCAUGUCUGGCUUCCUUGAAGGUCUCAGAGAGAGAGGUUCGAGGCAAAGGGGACAAAGAUCUCUGCUUGUUCAUUAUUGGUUUCUUCUGAGCCUUGUUGGAAGCAAAAGCCACUUCAGGCCUUGAUUUCAGACUACUAGAACUGUGUUGUGCCCUUGGCUGAAUGCUGAAAGAGCCAAAUCCAGAACUGGAAUAGUUCAACCUGUGACAUACUGUGUGGGAGAAUUUGGCCCUCCUUAUCCAAGAAUUACUGCUAUCUUCAUCCAUCUUUUACCCUUUCUUCUUCAGAAGAAGAAGAAAACUAGAAGCACCUUACAAAAUCACUUUAUCCACAAUCUGAGAAAUAACUAGUCUUAAAGCCAAAAGGGUGGUGGUCCCCAAAAAACAAACUUCUCAGACUAAUUUCACACAAUCACAGGUAACUAGAUUUCCUCAAACUCAUCAACAACAACUGAGGGAUUGAACCAUGAAAAGUCAAAAAAAAAAAAUCCCAAUUGGAAUCAGAAAACCACUCAAAGCAAUCAAAACCCAGCAAGAAUGAGUUGAUGGAAAUUGGAAACCCCUCCCCCCCAAAAGAGAGAAAAAAAUCUGAAUUAAAAGCCAACAACAAACAUGCAGUGCUGUAGCGAGAGGUAACAGAAACUCCAAUCAAUCAAAAAAAAAACUUGACCUUUCAUAACCUCCUCAGCUGACACCUUUUACCAACAAAGUCAAACACCCACCACCUUCCGUAAAUGCCUGGAAAUCCCACACAGAUACCAGAAUACACUAAUCAAACCCCAAAAACAAAAAAUAUUCACUUUAAUUCAAAUCAGCAGAAAAACCACAAGUUAAAAACUAUUAGUACUUAUUUUACGUUGAUAAUGCAGAAACACCCAUCAUUAUACGUCCCCAUUGACUAACAAUAAUACUCAUUAUUUUAAAGAGUGACGAGCCAAUUAAACUAUUAUUAUAUUUCCAAAAGACCCAAAUACAGAAACAAAAAAAAAAUCAUUUUUUUAUAAAGAAAAGCAUCCCCAAAUACAAAGAAGAAAAGGGUGUCAGUAAAAUGCUAAAAUUGCAUUACCCGGAGAAAUAUCAAACCCGCGUACUACAAUUCUACAAAGGGUGUUUUUUUUGUUUUUCUUAUAUCAAAUUAUAAGAGCUUAUAAUAUGCUGAUAAAGACAGAAAUUUCCUGCACCUAAUAAAUACUCCACUUUCCACGAAGAGAGAGAGAGAAAAAAAAUCUUUUAUUUACUACUAUUAUUUUAUUAUUUUGAGAAUACAUAUACUUUGAUAAAUUUUAAAGGUGUCUUAGUAUAUUGAUUAAGAAAUUAAAGAAAUGUUUGAUAGAGAAAAAGUUUUAUUAUUUUUAAAAUUAUAUUUUUAAUAAUGAAUAAAUUUUUGUUUGAUUGGAUAUCAAAAAAUUCUAGAAAUUAAAAAAUUAUAUAAUAUAUUUACCAGUUAUUUUAAUUAUUUAUCACACUCAUAAUAAUAACAUGAUUUUUGUAUGUAAUAGAAAAAUUAAACUCGAAAAGUAAAAUUUUCAAAAACAAAAUCUUAAUUUUUAAAAACAAAUAAAAACACAGGAAACCAAGAUUUUCAAUCCUAAAUUCCUAAAAAACUUAAAACUUUUUCCUACCAAAAGACUUUUUAAAACCUCCUAAAAAGAGGAUUUUAUUAAGAUAAGUAAAAAUAUAUUUUCUAUAACUUUUUAUACACUCUUAUAAAAUCUUCAUGAAAAAUAUUCUUCUUCUAAUUUGUUAACCAAAUAUCCUUGGUCACAAGUCAGCAACAUCCAUACUUACAAUUUUAGAAUGGUCAAUGGUGAAUACGAAUGUGAACGAGUUUGGUAUGACAAACGCAGGAAAUAGAGAUUAGAGGGCGCAGAUUUUGGAAAUUGGAAGAUGAUGUUUUGGACUAGAGACGGCCAUGAUGAGGUUUGCUCCUUUGGUGGGAUGAAGGGUAACUCUGUAGGGUAGAGAUGGGGAUGGAUGUACUCAUUGUUACGUGCAGGAGAGUUAAUAUGUUUUGUAUUGCUUUCUUAGUAGAAAUAUUUAUUGUCAUUAAUUAUAUUUGGUAGGUUUUAAAUAUAAGAGAUUCUUACAUGUUCUUAUGAUAGUGUUGUUAUACCAUACUGCUUUAAUGCUUGUCUUGAUGCGUUUUUUUAUUGUUUUAAAACAUUUUAAUGAUUCUUGUGAUUAGUAAAAAAAAUGUAUUGUAAUUAAUGAUUUACCUAACUUGUGUGGCGAAUUUGCAUACUUAUAGCAAUCAAUUUAUAUAAUGAUAUGUACUAUACUGAAUCGACAAAACCUUCAUACUGUGUGGGCGGGCAUGUACAUCUCUUGUUUUAUUUAUUCUCUGAGUCUCGACAGAGAUUAAAAAAAAAAUUUACUGAUUAUCGAAGAGAAGAAUCAAGGUAAGAUCCCACACAGAAUUGUCAAAUAAGAUAAGAUUACAUUCAAAUAAGAUAAUAACAUAAUGUAAAAUUGUUAUUUGCCUAUUAGUUUCCAAGAAUAAAUAUAUGUACUUGACAAUGUAACAAUGUUUACUAUUUAAUCACAAUUUUUACCAUUACUGAUUAGUUUGUUAAUAGUUAUUUUAAAAAUUAUAUAAACAAAGAUUUAUAAUUGAUUAAUAUUGUAAAAAGAACUAAACUACAAAUAUAUCAAUAUGUAGAAAUAAAAUUCAUAUAGUAAUUAUUAAAAAAAAUUAAAAGCUAAUACAUUUGAUAAAUGGAAGGAAGUGGGAAAGGAAGGAAAAUAAAAGUCACGAGACAGAAUUGAAAGUAUGAGUUUUAUUUUUGGUUAGAAUAAUUCUAUUAUUUUUAGUAAUGUAUUUUUUAUAAAUUUUUAUUUAUUAAAUAAAGAAAGAACUAAAUACAUUAAACACAUAUUUAAAAUAUUGAAAUAUUUAAUUUUUAUUCAAUAUUUAUUUUAUAAAAUAUUCACAAAAUUAUAAGAAAAAUAUAGAGUAAUUAUGUUCAUAUUUAUUUUUUAUCUUGUUUUUAAUUAUCAUUUCUGUUUUCUUUUUUCAUCACAUCAUUUAUUAUUUUGUUCUUCUACUUUUAUUCUGCUUUCUUUCUUCUUUCUUUCUUCUUCUUCAAAUCUACUCCAAAAUGAAAGGAAUGUCUAUUGUAUUUGUUUUUAAAUAUAAUAAGAACUGCAACAUUACUUUAGAUGUGUUUAGUCUAGAGAAGAAAAAUAGAGGGAAAAAAAGAAAUAAAAAAUAUUUUUUAAAAUUAAAAUAAAAUAUAAAAGGUAUAAGUCUCACAAAAUAUAAUAUCAAUUUUUUUGAAUAUUAUUUUCCUCUUUAAACAAACAAAUCCUUUCUUCUCUAUAUUGUUUAGUUAAAAGAAAUGGUGAGAGCGUAUGGUGAAUGGAGGAAUCCAUGUGUCACUAUAGGGGAGAAUGAGGUACGGAUUCGAUUUUUGUAUAUGUUUGGUUCUGAAGAUGCAUACUUCAACGAAACUACUACACAACUUGUACGGUUGGUUGCAUUGUACGAUACGGUUCCCAAAACAAAACUAAACCCAUUUGGCCACCAAACGGUACGAAUCUACAUAACUUUGUACCUUGUUUACCCAAAAAAUAAGAAAUGAAAUCGACUUAAUUUAACACUUAUUGUCACAUUACUUGUUUGUUUCGAUGUUAAUGGCCUCUUAUGCUGUCUUAAUUAAUAAGAACAAGAUAUAAAUCUCAUUAGAAAUUAUAUUAUUGGCUUAAGUUAGAGAAGACAAAUACAUGGGGACAUGGGGUGAUGGGGGAAGCCUUUGCUUGCACUUAAUGUCAUUGGAAAAAUUUAAAAAUUAAGAAAUGCAAUAUUCAAUUAUUAUUUCCCAAUGGCCAAACAAAAUAUCCUUAUUGUACGGAUUUUGAAUCUCCAUUCAAUAUUAAAUGGUGAGUGAUUAUGAUUUUUUGAAAAUAAAAUAAAAUAAAAAGGUAGAUGAAGAUGGCAUAUAUAUGAUAAGAGUUAUUAGUUUUACCCAUGCAACCAUCUAUUAGAAUAUUAGUUGAACAUAUUUCCCGUGACAUGGAGAAGAACAAUUCCUAUUUUUUCAUAUAUGUUGAAAAUUUUCAUACCUUGCAGGCAGGCAUGGAAAACUUGACCUUGCACAGUCACACAUAUAUGAUAGGAGAGAGAAAGAUAGAGAAUUCGAUAGCGAACGAUUGAACGACGCAUACGCACACCUCACAUCAAUCAAUCAAAGAAAAUAAAAUGGGAAUGGAAUGUGAAUUUGACAUUUGACUCUUUUUUCUAUUCUUCAUCUUUUAUGAAUGAAUUCUCACUUAGUGUAUGAAUGAGUCAAAAAAUAAAAAAAUAAUCAACACUACACUUGCGUCUUCUUUCGUCAUAAGUGACACAUUAUGACGUCUCUAAUUUUAUAUAUAACUAUAUAAACUUAUUAAACUGGGACUAUUUUAUGUUUUUUUUUUAAUUAGAUUGUAUAAUCAAAUUCCCAUUUCCUUGAAACAAUAAAAACAUUGGAAAUCAUAUUAAUUUCUUUUUGGCUUUUUAGGAAACGUCUUAGUUUUAUAUAAAUGCUAUUAGCGAUUUUUGAACUUUAUAAAUGACAUGACGUUACACACUAAUAGCAUCUACUAUAAAACUUCGCCUAAAAUCUUUAUUUUAUUUUUCUUAAGUCUCAAAAUUCAUAGUAAAGAUUAAAAACUAGUUGUUGAUAAUAUUGAGGGUCAUAAAAAGAGAACUUAAUUAUAAUAAUGCAUAUGAAUGUCUUUCAAAAGGGGUUAAAAGAAAGAAUAUGUAAUUUUUAAAAUAAAAAAGAAAACUUAAUGUAGUUUAAACGUUUCAAAAUAAAUAUUUUACACUAAAUAUAGUUAAGAAAAAUUAUCUUAAAACCUUUUUUUCUUGGAAGAAAAAUAUUAAGUCCAUUUCAAAUUUUAGUUAUUUGUUAAUAAAACAGCAUGGAACUUUUAUAAUAAUGAAAAUAUAAAAAAAAAAAUUAUUAACCUAUCUGUUGUAUCUCCCCCAAAUAAAAUAAUACAAGUAAUAGUUUGCCUCAAAGAACUUGGUUGUCAAAGAACUUGGCCCAUUAUCGAUUGUUAGUUUGUUACGAAUUAUGUCAAGCCAGUUGUUAUUAGUUUCACUCCUAUUACUCCUAGCGCCCUACUAAGGAGCUUACCCUUUUACAAAUUGUCCUUCCCACAGAAUUAUGGUUCCAUGGUAGGUCAUGCACUGUACAACCAUAAUUUCAUUCAUUCUUAUAAUUUUCUUGUAAGUGACUUUAAUCAAACAAGUUUCGUGUUUAAAACUUGAAUUUUUUUUGAAAGAAUUAAUAUGUCAUGAAUUAAAUAAGGGAUCAUUUUAGAACUUAUAAAACUUAGGAACUAAUUUAGAAAAAAAAAAAAAGAGAUUAUUUCCAUAUUGUAGACUAUUUUUAAAAUGCAAAUUACAAAUUAAUCUUUCUUUUUUUCAAUUUGAGUCAUUAGAACUCCCUUCCUCAAUCUUGAACACCUACCCCCAUUAGAGGUGGGUAAAUGGGUUCAUGACUAUGAACCGGUCCAUGGGACCCACGGUACCACGAUUUGUGUGGCCCGUGGACUAAUUUUUUUAAAAAUGCAUGACUAUACAGGAUUCUGCCUGAUCCCCUGCCAAUGCGCCAGCUUAACCACCCCAAACAACCAUCCCACAUUAUCAUUUAAAAUCCAGUGCAUCCUCUGAACUCCUCCCCCAAUUAAAACAACCCAAACACAAUCAACACUUUUCCUCUCCAUUACAACUAAUUUGGCCAUCUUCUCUGCUUGCCUUUUAGUUAAUUUGUGCUUUUAAUUUAGCCAUGGAUUUUUUUUUUUAAUUUACCCCUCAAUUUCUCCCAAGAAAAAUCAAGAAAAAACAUUUAAAAAAAUGGGAUAUAUUUAAUGCACGAAUAAUUGUUUGUAAGGUUUGAAUUUGAAAUCAUCCAUGGCAGGUUCAUUGCACGAGGACGACAAUGAAAUCUCAUAGAAGAUAGUGGUGACAUUGUUCAAGGCUAAAUUGAUUUUUGCCUUUUCCUCUAAUGUUGGGUGAUGCACAUAACCUGCAUAUGUACAAGUUGUUUUCGGUGGUGAAAGGAAAGGUAGAUACGACGUCGUUUGCAAUGGGAAGUUGUGAUGCACAUAACCCCUUUUUUUCAAUUCGAGUCUAACAAGUCUUUUUUUCAAACACCUUACAUACUUAUUCCUAUCAUCCACCAUAUCACACAUUACUCUCAAUACUUACUCAAAACCAGUUUAACAGAGGAAAAAACACUCAAGCCUAACCCGAAUUCCUCCCUAAUUGAACCCACAACUUCCUAGUGCAAACUGCAUUGUAUCCACCUUUCCCUUUCAGCACCAAAAAGUCAAAAACUUAUACGAAUCCAAGUGUUAUCUAUCUCCCAGUAAUGACGAAAAGUGCAAGAAGCAAUUAAACGCAGAAUUUUCACCUCAACAAGGAACUUCACUGAACCUUAUCAUUCGAGCCUCCAACAAUGUAAUCACCAUCUUCUACGAGACUCCAUUGUCAAGUAAGAACCGGCCUACCAUGGAUUUGAAUUCACAUACACAACCCAUUGUUUUUGUUCCACCACCUGCAUUCACAAAUAAAAACUUGACACCAAUGACCCAUGCCAAAUCAAGGGCCAUAAACGUCAAAUCCGAGCAUGCAUCAUUGUCUACAUGGAUUCUCCCACAAACCAACUCGAGGGCCAUAGUUCGAUGAUUACACAUUUUGAAAUCAUUCUGACAGACGAUGCUCAGAAUAAUGUUUAGAGCUCAAGGCUCUGGCAAAUUUAUUUAUCUUUCUUAUUUUGAAAUUCAGAUUCUUCAAACUAUCAGUUUGUUCCAAGAAAUUCUACUUAAUUGCUAGUCAUAUUUAUGUGGCCUUUUUGGAAAAUGAAGCUCACAGAUGCAUUGAAAUAAACUAUGGUGCAGCUUAUCUGCAUUAGCUUUUGGAGAAUCAUAGAUUAUAAACUGCAUGAUCUGGUAUACACAAGGAUUUCUUUUAUAGUACUUCAAAAUGGAAAAGUGUUUUGGUGUUCAGGAUCAGAAAAAUGCUAAAAGGAAGUAAAAUCAUGUGAAAAACACUCAAUUAUAUAUAUUGCUAGCAAUGGGUUACAAUUGAAACCAAACUUCACCUGUAAUUCAUUUGGGAGUAGGGGGAGCGGGGUAGGCCAUUAUCAUUGGCAUAAUACUAUAUAUUGAAGCUGCUUGAGUUCUUUUCCAGGUGCUGAAGUAGCAGUUGCUUCAAAAUUACAAUUCUGUCAGACUCGUAUUUUGAAUUAUAUCAGACUGUUGACCCCACUUUAUGAUACCUUUCGAGAAAGGUUCUUCAUGCCAUAACCAAUACACUUUAGAAAAACCGACUGUGAGUUUGGAUCUGGUUUGAUAAUAAACUUCAAAUCAAGAAAAUCCCUUAGGUUUCUGAGAGUUUCAACUCCAUGCUGCGAAAGUUUUCCUACACGAACCUUGGAAACAUCUUGAGGGCAUAGAGCACAUAGAAGAAAUAACAAACCCUAUAAACCAAAACAUUAAAAAAUAUAUUAGGUAAGCCAAAGUUCCACAGAUGGAAGCAAUUUUCAUCUUAUUAGUCCUACAAAUCCAGGUGCAAGAUAAUAAAAUUGAAAUAGCUACUUAUUUCAGCACCAAAGAAUAGAAUUUGAGUCGUAAAACUUCCAGGGAGGGUACAUCUCUGCUGCAUGUUCUCUUUUCUUUUCCUUUUUUUCUACCUGUUCCAUAGCUUUUCAUCUCUACUAUCUAAAAAAAUUUAAGUCUAUAUUCUCUCUCUUUUACCAGUAUCAGUCAACCAGGGUAAUAGUUUUCUGUUUGUUAAGAAGCUUUCAUCCAUAAUUAUGAGUUUAAUACCAGUAUCAAUCAUUUGGUAAAGAACCAUUAAAGGGGAUGAAACUGCUAAUAAACUAACCUGAUGUGUUGAAUCUACCACUCCACUUUGAGCUAUCUCCCCUAGUAAAGCACUAGCAAUCCCCACACCAAUAUCAUCUGGCGGCAUUAAGUCUCGUUUCGCAUCAUCUGCAAGGCCAGAAGUAUCGUCAUCCCUCACUUGAGAAACAGCAGUGUCUACAGAAAUGAAACAACCAGACGUAGUUUCCGCAACCAGAGAAAUCCCAUAUCCAGGAGAGCUGCAACAGCAAAUGACAAAUAAAAGGAAUUACAUUUUAAUACAAUACAAUAUGACUUGCACUUUUCUACCAAAUAUAUUUCCACAAUUCAAAUUUAAAUAUUCAACAAUUUCCACUGAAUGGAAGGAAUCAUACUUACUUUCCAGCCUCAGGACCUGAUCUGUGAUCAGAGAAAAUGUGCACAUCAGAAACCAGCGGAUUGAUGAUUCCACGGGCAGCUUUAAUCAUGCCAUAUUCAAACUGAACAGACACUCUUGUUGAAAAAGAAGUUCCCCUAAUUUUCCUCACAAAACCCUCAUCAAUCCAACUAACCGCCUGUUGGAAAGAACAUACAUAUAUAAGGCAUUAAAAAAAUUUAAAUUAACCAUCAAAUCAAAUUAUCAAAAAUUCAGAAACUUACCGUUAGACUCUGAACAACAGGAACAGACAAAAGAACUUCACCACCACCAUUGGGAGGUAAUCCACGACUCUCUACUUUAAUCUCCAAGCCUUCAGAUGGAACUCCAAAGCGCUUCAAUAUAGGUAAAGUCGUUGACUUGAAGGUAUCAACAGAUGGAUCUUUAGAAUCAUUUGUAAUUCCUGUGCGAACAGUUUUUUUUAGAUUUAAAGUUUAAACCACCACAAUAUCUUCGUUUUUCUACAUAAAUAGGAAGUAGAAUACAAUUACUAUUAUACCUUUGAGCCUGAUAGUAAGGGGCUGUUUGGCAAACAAACACAACACAAUGAGUGGCUCCAGAAAGUAACCAAUGGACCGUGAGACGCCGCAAUCGUGUGGACUGUGUUGUCUGCCACCCAUAAUAGUUCCCGGUUUGUACUUUAAUUUGGUACCUGCCCAAACCAAACAGAAUGAAUAAUCAAACGGUCGUUGGUUCGAAUCCCCUCGCUAACAUUCUAAUAUGAAACUAAGAAACAAGAAACAUAAGAUUUGGCGAUAAAUAAUUAAGAAAAUGGUUACCGGUUUCGUUGAUUUCGACGUGGCAAUCGUCGCAGACGGUUUCGAAGAGUCGGAGGAGAGAAAUUUCGUGGUUGCGGAGGCCGGGCCAUGUCUCGUCGGCGCGAAUGUCCUCGAUGAGAAUGGGAGUGGAGGAGAGAGUAGAGAGAAGAAGGCGUUGCCUGAAGCUCUGGCUUCCCUUCAGCCUCUUGUAAGCCGUUUUCCCCAUUCUGUGCAGCAACUCAAACUCACUCGUGCCAACUUUAUCAAGCUGCACAUAUUUAUACGGACGGUUUUCGGGUUCAGACUCGGUCUAUUUUUUUGUUGUAGGGUUUCUAAAGUGUGACUCAAUCUGGGCCAGUCGCCCAUUCUUAUUGGUCCCAACACUAUUGCUAUUUGUCCCUUUCAAGUGGCUCAAUUUUAUUUUUCUAAAGAUACCCUUUCCACAUAAUCAUGUUUUUUUACGUGAAAAUGUGUUUUCAUUUUAUAUUUUGUUCGCACCCCGCACUAUAAUGGAAACAUGAUUCUCUAUACAAAUUUUGAAACGGAAUUACGAUUCCAUUUUAGAUUUUGAACACGGAAUCACAAUUUCAUUUUUUUUUUGUUUUAACUUUAAAUAAAAAAAACAAGGAAAACAUGAUUCUGCGUAUAAAAUAUAAAAGGAAAACAUGAUUUUGUUUCAGAUUUUAUACGCAAAAUAAGAAAAGAUUUGGUUCGAUGAAUGGGAAAAGAAAGGGUGCAAUGGGUUUGAAUUAAGGGGCAAAAUUAUCUCUCCAUGAGCUUUAAAAGUUGAUAAGGGUCCAUAGCAAUUAUUGUUGGAGUCAACAACAACUCUUUGUUUGGUUUCUCAAGGAAUUGGACUUCAAACAAUUACUAAUGGCCCAAGCCUUAUAUGCUGAAGGGAGUUGAUAUUGGCAUCAACCAAAAUUGUUGUUGACUCUUACAAAACUUUAAAAUCCCUAAAAGAAAUUAUUUUAUCCCUUUGUUCAAACAGUCUAUUCCUCCUUCUGUCUCCUUCCUCCUACAUGUGCCCCUUUCUUUUCACCCGAUGUUAAAUGCACAACAAAAACACAAUUACACUGAUAUUUAUUGAAAUACACAAUAGAAUUAUAUUUUUAUUUUAUAUUCUUAAAACAAUAAACAAAUAGAUAAUGUGAAUAUGAUUUUAUUGUGAUCUUCAUAUUUUUGUUUUGUUUUUUUUUUGUUUUUAUGAUUUUUUUAUCAGUUAUAAAUGUAAGUUAUUUUUUUUAAAAUAAUCAAAUUAAUUGUGAUAUAAUUUAUCAUUUUUAAUAGUACUUAGUAUCUUUUUGGCUAAAAUGUAAUGCUUGUUUCUCUAAUUUUUAAAAUUCGUAAUUUUGGUCCGUAAAUUUUAAUUGUAAUGUUUGGUCUCCCUCCCCAAGUCUUAUAAAGCGGUGAUUUUGGUCUUCCAGGUAGACGAUUAACAAAUAAUUUAGAUUAGUUUAGGUAUUAAAAUAAUUAUGAAUUAACCAAAGCUAUUAAUUAUUAAAAAAUGAAUAAAAAUUAUUAAUCAUAAUUUCCCAUAACACUAUAUUCCUCUUCUUCUCCACAAACACUUCUUCAACCUCCUCCACUAUUGCACGUGACAAAUAGAUAGUAAUACCACAUUAGGAUUAAUAGUCUUUUAUUAAAUUUUUUAAUGAUUUAUAAUUUUUAAUUAAUUUAAUAUCUCUAAUAGUCAUAAUUAUUAGUUAAUAAUCUAUCAGGGGACCAAAAUCGUAAAUUUAUGAUACUAAGGGAACUAAAUGUUACAAUUAAAAAUAAAGGAAAUCAAAAUCAUGGAUUUGAAAAAUUAAAAAACUAAAAUUACAAUUUAACCUAUUUUUAAAAUUAGAAUUAAAUUAAUUGGAUACAAGUUAUCAUUUAUAAAGAUAAUCAAAUUAAUUAUUAUAAGAAUUAAGUUUAUUACAAUUAAAAAAGUAAUUUAUGUCAUCAUUAAUUUAAAUAUAAUUUAUGUAAUAAUUAAUUUAAUUACUAUUAAAAAAAUAAUAUAUGUCAUCAUUAAUAUAAUUUGUAUAAAAAUUAAUUUAAGUUAAAAAGAUAACUUAUUUGUUACAAUUCGUAAAAAAAUACCUAACGGUAUAAAAAGGAUCGGAGGUACUAUUUAAUAAUAAAAAAUUUCAACUCUUAUGUGUGAUAAAAAAAACGUAUUCCAAAAUCAUUGUUAUUUUAAAUUUUUAAUAUAAUAUUAACUAUUUUUUAUUUAUAUUCCUUAUAAUAUUAAUUAUAUGAUCUAUGAAAACAAAAAAAAAUAAUGAGGAUAAGAUUAAUUUUGUAAAAUUAUUAUUAUUUUUUAUUUAUGUAAUGAUUUUCCAUGUAUGAGACUCAAUAACUAAGAUAUUAAUACAUAUAAUAAUAAUUUUAGAGGGGCCAGGCUAGUAUGCGGGGGGGAGGCGGGGUCACGUCCUUGUUUUUUUUUUUUUUUUUUUUUUUUUUUUUUUUUCUUUUUUUUUUUCUUUUUUUUNNNNNNNNNNNNNNNNNNNNNNNNNNNNNNNNNNNNNNNNNNNNNNNNNNNNNNNNNNNNNNNNNNNNNNNNNNNNNNNNNNNNNNNNNNNNNNNNNNNNGCCGCGCGAGUUGAAUGACAUUAUUCCUGACAAUUCAAUAUACUAAUACUUGCAUUUACUUUUUAUAAGAGUAACAAGGAAUUCAUUUAUAAAACAUGUACAAAAGAUUUGUAUUUUUUUAACAAAACAAAAAAAAAAUAUAUUUAGUAACAUAGAGAUAUUAAUACAUUUAUAAGUUAUAACAAACAAUAUAUUUUUCUUGGGACGGCAGCAAACAAUAUCUUGGAACGACAUAUCAAAAACUUUAUAAAGUUAUAUUGGACAACAUAUUUUUAACUAUUUUUUACUUUUUUAUUAAGGGAAAAACUCAUUUGAUUGUUUGAUAAAUAAUUUUUUUUUUAUUUUUAAUGUUUUUUGAAAUAUUAUUUGAAGUAACCCUUUUUAAAAUAUUACCUUCUAAUUUUUAUUUUUUUUAUAUUUUAUUUCACUUUUAUUAUUGAUAUAUUUAUUUAAAUUUUUUAUUAUCUUUCUUAAAUAAAUCAUAAUUUUAUUUUUUUUAUAUUAUUUUACAUUUUUCAACUUUUAAUUGUUAAUUUUAUCAAAUACUUUUAAUUUAAUAAGUUAUUUUUUUAAUUUUUAGUUACUAGCUUGUCUAUAUGUUUCAGUUAACUUUUAAAUUAAUUUUAUCAAACAAAUAUAAAUAUGUCUAUUUUUAUCAUUUUAUAUUUCUUAACUACUUCAAUAAAUAAUUUUAUCGAAUAUCUAUGAUUAAAUAAGCUAGUUUAAAAUAGUUUGCAGCAAUUAUUAACUUUUUUAACUUUUAAUUGAUUUUUUGGCUUUUAGUUAAUUGUUUACCUACAUUUGACAAACAUAAUUUAAUCCACAUAAUUAAAAAGUUACUUUUCGAACAUCGUCUAAUGCAAACAUAACCUACUUUUGUGAGAACACAUUUUUAUGGCAAUCCCAUACAUCUAUGUAACAUUCACGGCUACAGAAACACGUUUUAUAUCAAUUUUGGAAGACAUUUUACAUUGGUUCCAAAUUCAAUGUAGUAUAACGCGAUGUUAAAUGUAGGAAAGAUUCUGCAUAUAUCACAAAACAGAUGCAGAAUCCCCAAUUUCUACAUCAAUUCCUCCAAAUUCUCCAAUCCAAAUAACUAGGACAUAUAUGAAUAUUGAGAAAGUGUAAAAGUAUAAAGUAAUCUUCUAUGUUAAAGCAUGUGAAAUUGAUCUAGAUGUUUGAUUUGUUGGAUUGGAGAAUGGUGAAAAUUUGAUUUCCGAUAAAACUAAAGUUGUUUGACAUUAUGUUUCAAGGUAGAGAAGGAUAGGACUAUCCUAGAAAUUGAGGCUACAAAUUAUAACAAAACUAGUCUUCGAAUAACAAGCACUAGAAUUGCAGAAUGCUUAUAUACGACAUGAUCAUGAUCAGGGGCGAAACCAAAAUAAAGUGCAAGGGGGAAAAUCUUUAUCGCAAUAUAAGUAAAAUUACCAAUAACGAAUUUCAUUAAUCGUUUAAAAUUUAGACUAAUUAAUGAAGAACAAAAGAUCAUAUAUCAAAUGAAAGUAAAUAUAAGUAUUAUUGAUGCAAAGAAGACACGCAUACAAACAAACAAAAAAAUAUAUUUUCAAUCAUUAAGAUUAUGAUCUUUAAUUUUUGAUUUGAUAAAACUCUUCUAUAAUUAUUUAACAAAGGCCAAGCAAUCUUGAGUGAUUAUUCAGAAGAGUUUCAGCAAGUAGACACUUUCUCAAACACUUCAUCACCAAAUGUUUCAUGAAUUAUGCUAAGAGCAUAUUGAACCAUAUAUUAUGCUAAACACAUUUUUUAUUCAUUCAAUAUGAUGAGAUGUUUCUAUAGAAUUCUUCUCUUAAUCUCUAAGAUCUAUUAUAACCUUUCUUCUCCCAAACUUAUUUAAGCUUUUUUUUAUUGUCUUGAUAUUUUUAUUCUCUUAUUCUGAUUUUUAAUUAAUUUAUAAUAAAAUAAAUAACAUUUGAAUUAUUUUUCAUUGAUGAAUAAUCUAAUCCGUGCACAAUACAUAAUAAUAAGAAUUUAUUUGAAUAAACUUUUCAUAGGAAGAUAUAGAAGGAGAAAACUAAAAAGAAAAAUGAAAUAAGCUUAUGGAAAUAUAAGUUAAAAUUACUUUAUGCAUAAAAUACUUUAUAAAAACUCUCUCAUAUAUGUUUUAACUUUUGUAAAAGAUGAUUUUUAACUUAUACGUGGGUUAUUAGAAAAAUCUAUCCUGGCAUACCCAAAUUAUAUAAUAAAAUCUCUUCAUAGCUAGUGAUCAAUUUGAUAAAUUGAUAAUAUCCUAAUGAAACAACAAAUAAAGAUAAAAAUAACUAUUGUCAUUAAUCUGCAUUUCCAGAUAUUACUUUUCAUGCUACUUUGAACUAAUAAAGGAGCAAAAAUUAUUCAUCCCCUUGAUCACCUAUAUGAUUUUAUAAAGAGAUUAAAGCAAGGUCAUUAGAUUUAAUUAAACUAGCCCACCAAAGGAAAAAAGAAAAGAUUUUGAAUUUAUAAAAAUAUUAGGUAGAUCUCUUUAGUAGAUUGGCAAAAUAAAUAUGAUUUUAACCUUAGCUUCAAUUGUGUCAUUAUAUAUGUAAAACAAUCUACUAUUCCGAACCUAAUAUAAGUAAAUUAACUAACUUAGGAUUUAAAAAAUUAGUUAAUAUCAUUAAAUUUUUUUAAUAACAUUUAAAAAAUAUUUUUUUCUGAAGUACUGUUCAUUAAUUAGUACUUGAUAUUAAGAAUAAAAAUGAGUUAUUAAAAUUAUAAUCACAAUCAAUUAAAAAGUAUUUUUGUGAAUGACGAUGUCAAUAAAAAGGAUGAAAAUAAUUAAAAAUACUUAUAUUUGAGAUUAUUUUUUUUUAUUAUAUUUAGGUCUAAAGAGAGUAUCAAUCAACAAAAUAGCUAGGUAAAUUGUUUAAUGGAUCUUCCAAAUUCAGGGCAACGACUUUGAAGUACCAACCUAUUGCUACAAAUAAUUUAAUUAGAGAUUAGAGAAAUAAAACCUACUUUUCUGUAGUAAUUACAAUCACAAAACUUCAACAGCUGUACAAUGCAUAUUGGGAAGCUUCAACAUUUCUGUCUUAAAAUUAUUAUUUUCUAGCAUCAGAUCCACUGUUAGCAGUGAUGCUCUAGGCUUUGGUUUUGGCAUCACCACCUCGGAAUACCCCAUCAUUGAAUUAAGUGAUGAAGUAGUUGUUGAGGUGUUCCUUUUGCAUGAACCUAGCCACUUAGCUUGCAUGUACUUGUGCUUCCUCCAUGGUCCCAUGUGCAUUUUGUUUUCCUUCAUGCACUUUUUUGCUCCCAUACACAACACCUUGAUGAUGUUGCUUAAUCUCUCUAUUUUCCCCACGUACACCUCAGGGAGCUUGCUCACUAGCCCGUUGUACUCUUCACUUGCCCUUGCCAUCUCAAACUCUGCUCGAAAAUUCAGUUCUAUGAUCACCCUAACUUCUUGCUUUUUGCUUGUGCUGUCUAUUACAUCUAGGAAAGUAUGCUCUCCUGCACAGUUAAUUGUAAAAUUAAGUUAGCUUUUCAUUUCUUUAAUUGCUACUUAUAUGUGUCAUUUUUAUUCAUAGAAAUUCGACUCCUAUAUUUUUUUUUUUACAAUAACACAUACUGUUUCACUAACUAAAUUAGACACUGAAUUACAUGUAUCCGUCUAUCAAAAAGUUUGAAGUUAUUAAUUAUUUUUGUGAGGGACUAAUAAAUUUAAAGUUUGUUUGUACCGAACACCUUAAUUAAAUAGUUACUAGGAAGCCAAGUUGUCCUAGAAAAUAUGUAUGCACCUAAUGCCUAAUAUAAAUUAUAACUGACAUGGAAAAUGAUAUAAUUAUUUUUUAUAAUAGAGCUACAAAGGAAAGUGACAAUAGCUAUUGAUAUGAAAGUGAUUUCUAGAUUAAAAAAUAAAUGAGAUAACGUUGUUAAUUAAUAAUAGUUUCUUUCUGAUUAUAUAUGUUAAUUAUACAUACAUAUAUAUAUAUACCUAUCAAGAAGGCUUUUUUUUCAAUUUUUAAAACAUGAAAUAGGAAAAAGUGUUACGAAUGUCAAAAAGGGAAAAAGAAUCAAAAGGUACAUUUGUUGGAAUGAAUGUAUAUUGUCUUUGACUAAUUCUUGAAUAGGGAACAGAUAGAGUUUUUUUGUUUAUUAUUUUUAUAAUGCAAUAUAGCUGUUUACCUGAUGGAAUAUUACUUGGUGAGCUUCUCCAUUUUGUUUUGCAAAUGGCACUGUUAUAACCAGAAUUCUGAAGGCGUCUUGAGACUUCUAUAAUGAAGCAGUUUCUACAGGAUCUGGAAAUUAUCUGUCUACUGCAACUGCACACUAUUUCUGCGUUUUGUAUUUCCUGAACGGCUUCUUUGGUGGCAUUCCUUAUCCUUGACUCAAUAGAAGUUGAUCUAUAUAGGUAGUUCUGCAUAAUUAAAUAGAAAAACCAACUUGGUCAAAACCAACGCGUCUAAAACCUCAUAAGCCAACUAAGAUUUUGGAGCAACAAAAUGGAAAUGAUAAAACUACUAAUCAAAAUUACGUUUUAAAUCAAAAUGAAAUUAAUUAUUAACGAUGUAUUAAAUUCUAAUUAACAAGAUAUUUCAAAUUUUAAUCAUGUAUUUCAUGUUCAUAUUUUUCAGUAUAUAUACGUUAAACCCAGUUUAUUUUAAAAAAUAUAUUUUUUUCUUUUUUUCUCAAGAAAAAGUUUAUAACUUAAUUAGAAUGCAUCGAGAAUAUGGAAGAAAAAAAAUAGUAUAUCAUCUACUCACAAAUUUUCAAAUAUAAUAAGUUUGUCGAUGUUAAAAAUAAUUAAAAUCAUAUCUGAUAUAAAUCUUGUUGAGUUGAAAUGAUAAAAAAUCUCUAUGCAAACAAUGGAUAUAUGGAAUUGGAUACUAAACUCAAACUUUUGAAAUAAAAGAAUUGGAUACUCUAAACACAGGCUUUAGCUUCUGUAACUUGAAUUUAAAUUUGCAGAUUUCAAGUAGUUCAAAACUUCAUUGAAACAUGCAUGUGGGAGAUAAGAAUUAAUGAAGUACCAAUAAAAUUAAUUGAUUGAUUAAUUUCCUUUGCAUGUAUUAACGUUGAUCUAUUGAACAAAUCAAACAAAGAAAGAAUCAAAUACCAGAAUCAAUUAAUCAAGAACAUUAUGCCAUGUUAGUUAAUUAAUUACCUGCAAAAGCUGGUGUUGAUUAUCCCAAAAGCUUCUAUUCUCCUCAACGCUGCCACCAUCAACCCUCUCACCAUCAUCAUCAUCAUCCAAUUCCAUUUCAUUGGAUUGACGAAACUCAUCGCCAGAACUUUCAUCACUUUUGACCAACGACAUCAUCAUCUCACCAUCAUCGAGAAAUUCAAACUCCACAUCUCCAACUCCAAGUUGUAGUUUCUCGCACCCCAAUGAUUCCCUUCGGGGUAGAAACCUCGUGACUCCUCCUCGGACCAUAGAGGUAGCACCCAUUUAGAACAACACAACAACCGAACAAGGUGGUCUUCUUUCUUUUACUAAAACAAAUUAGAGUGUGGAAAUUGGAUUAAGGAAAGGGUUAUUUAUAUAUACGAAAAAAAAGUGAGUAGUGGUGAGAUAUAUCAAUCUCUAAUCGCCGCGCACAUGUAAGGGUAGAUUCUGGUAGCAUAUACGUAGUGGCGUGACCCUAUUGGUUCAUUUAUUAAUAUUUGGGGUGAAAUUCAUAUACAGCAUGGAUCCACGUCAGUGGUUUGCAAUAAUUUCAUCCAACUCAUCAUCAUCACACUGUUGCAAACCAUGUUGAUCCUGAUCUAAUUAGAACAGCGGAGAAUGAUAGAGAGAGAGAAAAGCUUAUACGUUGCAAUUGCAAGCUCAACUAUAUUUUGGGCUUAUCUCUUGUGGGGCUUACUUGUCGCUUUGUCCUUUCAAAUAAAAAUUAUAAUCAUGCAUGUGUAUGAAAAAAAAACUGCCAUGUCAUAAUUAAACAGCAAUAUGCAUAUACGUUUCUUCAUGAUUGUUCCAAUAACAGAAAGAGUUUUGGUUAAUCAAUAUUAAGACAUUAAUUAAAAAAAUAUUUAUUAUUAAAAUUAUAAGAGAAAAUAAAAAAAAAUUAUGAAUAAUAUAAAUUUACGUAUCAAUAAUAAUUUUUUUUUAAUUCUUUAACCAAUGUGUGAAGACAUUGGUUAGAUUUGUCUACUAGAAAUGUUAUAUAAUUAUUAGUUGUUAAUUAAUAACAAAUAGGGGCGAUUAACUAAUUACAGAUAGUUCAGUACAAAUAAAACUGAUUCAAAUAAUAACGUUUCUAGGUUUCUUGAAAUUGUGACUCAUACUCCCGCAAAAAGUUCACUUUUUUUAUUUGGUAAAGAUUAAAGAAAAUUAAUGUAAUCAUUCAUAUGUAACAACUACAUAUAAAAUAAAUAUAUUAAUAUGGUGUUAAUAGAUUGAUAAAAAAACAUUGUCUUUUUUAAGCAUGUGAUCAUAAGUUUUAUUUCCAGUUGAAAAAAUUGAUUUCUUUUUGUAAGUAAUAUAUAUAUAUAUAUAUAUAUAUAUAUAUAUAUAUAUAUAUAUAUAUAUAUAUAUAUAUAUAUAUAUAUAUAUAUAUAUAUAUAUAUAUAUAUAUAUAUAUAUAUAUAUAUAUAUAUAUAUAUAUAUAUAUGGUAGGUACCAGUCAGCAAUACCAAUUUUGAUAACUCAGAAAUUUCCCUCACUAAUAUUCUGCCAUCAUAAUCAGCCAGACACAUAUUGCCAUCAAGGCAUCCCUAUAGACACACUUAUCCACAACUUCCCAAGGCCCAAUACAAACAGACAGUAGCAUGUCUGUCUGCAUGUGUGUCGAGUACAUGAGAUGAUAUCUCCAAACACAUUCAAUUAGGCCACAUCAUACCUUCUGCUACAAACUCUGUAAACAUACCAGUGGACACCUAUACCAUUUAUAGAAUGAAAAAAGAGAAAGAGUUAGAUUUGUUGGUGUUCCACAAUCAAGAUUUAAAUGCAAGACUUUCGAACACCUUAUCAACAUCUAGUAAACUUUGAUCAAAGAUAAUCCGAUUUCUAUGGUUCCACAGUUCCCACACUGAAGCACACCACAUCCACCACCCACCACCAAGCAAGCAAACCUCCCUUUCUCAAGUGGUAACACUCACGUUGGAAGAAAUGAGUUGUAGGAUCUUCAUGUUAUGAGAAAGAGAUGCCUACCCAGCAAUAAAUACAAUUCCACAUCUUAGUUGCAAAUGUGCAUGUAAAUAAUACGUGAUUUACAAACUCCUCCUGAUCUUGGUAAAAACUGCACAGAUAACCCAGUUCAUUAAGUGCCACACCUCAUUUUUUGAGAUUCUCUUUUAUAAGUAAUUUAUUAAGAGAGAUCCUCCAAACAAGUGCAGCAAUAUUUAAUGGGAUAUGCAAGCUCCAUAACAGAAUAAAACCUGGUUGGAACAUUCUCUACCACCUCCAUUUUUGUCAAAUAAGUCGAGUUAACCGUAUAAGUUGAGUUGAAAAAAUUGAUCUCUUAAAAAAAAUCUCUAUACGUACCUCAAAGUAUAUUAUAUUAAUCACGAGCUUUCACUUAAGAAUAUUCUAAAAUCAUAAGAAAAAAUUAAAAAUUAUAAAAUAAAUAUAUUAGUGACGAAGAAAAAUAAAAAAGACAAAAAGGGCAGAGUUUUAAAUAUCACUUAUUGGGGGUAUAAUAAUGAAAGAAGUUGAAGUACCAACCACUAUCAUGAUAACUUUAUUAUAGUAAAGUGUACGUGGAAUUGGAAAUUUUUUUAUUUGGGAUUGACAUGGAUAAAUCCGCUUGCUAGUGUCAAAGGAUUUGUAUGUAAAAAAUUCCUUAAUUCAAAGUGGAGGGUUUAUUUGUAAUUUUGUUAAGGACACAAUAAUUGGAUUGGCAGCACUGCAGUAGCGUAAGUGCGAAACUUUGAUGAUGCAUGCUGCGCCGCGUAAGUUGCACAAAAGACAAAUUUGAAUGAACGUUCUCGUGGGGGAAUCUCAGGUUGGGACUUGAAAGCCAACCUUUUUCUAGUUCAGUGUUUUCCUUGUUUUCGGCAUGAUUAAUUGCUUCUUUCUCAGAGAUUAUUCAUCAAUAUUUUAUGUAAUUAUGAUUGUUUUUUCAUCUUAUUCUUAACCGUCAAAUUCUAUUCGAUCACUUGGGUCUUGUUUCAGAAACGUGAUGGAAGAGUUUGUAAAAUUGUUAGCAUCAUGGAAUCAAAAUAUCACGAGGCAGGGUUGUUGCAAUGUUACAUUGAAUCAAUGAAGUUAGCCUAAAAUCACCAUUUAUUUUACAUAUUCUUGAUCAUAUUGCUUCUUUCGUGUUAGAAUAAUUAUCGUUAUAAAUUUAUAUAAAUUAAUAAAAAGUAAUAAAUAAAUAAUUUUAUAAAAUUAACUUUAUAUCAUCAUUAAUUUAUUUAUAAAUUUUGUUAUUUAUCAUUAAUAUUAUAAGAAAUAUGAAUGAAAAAAAUAAUUAAUAUUACAUUAAAAAACUAAAAUAAAAAAUAUUUUUGAAAAAAAUAAUCUUACACAACAAUUAUAAUAAAACAAAAAGAAUAUGAAGAAUUAAUAAGAAUGAAAUUACAAAUAAAACUCAAACACAUAUUUUGAAGUAUUUUGGAUUAGUAUCUCAAUGUACGACAUGAUUCAGUUGGGCUAGACCAACAAGCCGAGAAAAGGGCAUGUGAUUAUGUGAAACAUGCAUUACCCUUGACCUUGAGGCAGGUCCCGAGGAUCGUGUGACCAUAACCAGGGGUGGAGCUUGAAAUUUGGCUUGAGGGAGACCAAGAAAAAAGUAUAAUUUAAUAAAUAAAGUUUACAUUUUUUUACGCAUAAAAUAUAAUAAAAAGUUAUAAUAUAUUAUAUAUUCUAUUUUAAAAAAAAUAUGUUUAUAUAAAAUAUAAAAAUAAUACUAUCUUUUAUUCUUUAGACAAGAGACAAUAGAUUAAUCUCUUUAGUUAUCAACAAAGUCUAAUACAGUUAGUAGAUAAUUGAGUUUCUUAAACAUGUUGAUAUAGAGUUUCAUUCUUUAGUCAUGCAUAUGAAGAAGAUUUUAUUGGAAGAGACAAAACACUUUUAUAAUUUCUAUGUCUUGAGGGUUAAUUUAUGAUUUUCGGUUAUGUGAAUAUUUUGUUUCUAGGAAAAAAAAUCUCUUGAUUCUAAUUAUAGAAACAUAAACUCAUUUUUAAAUGUAUUAAUUAUAUGUUUUCUUUUAUACCCUUAGAUAUUCAUUCGGAAAUUUAUUAAUAAGACACUAAAUUAUUUCACAAGUAGAUACAUUCAUUGACCUAAUAACAUUUUAAGUUACACUCGGUGGUAAAAAAGUUAUUCAUUAAAUUACAAAUAAUGUUAUCAAAUAUAAUUACUAUUAAAAUUAAUUAAUUCUUGAUAUUAUUAAUUAAAAUUAACUAGCUUAAUUAUUUUAAUUGAAUUUAAUAAAUUAAUUAUUUGUUAUAUAUAAAUAGAGAUAGUAAUAUAUGAGAACAAAAUAAAUUAGAUAGAUAAAAUAAUUUUGGAUGAUUAUAUAUCGACAUCUCAACAUCACAAAUAUUCCAUUAAAAAUUAUAAUUUUUAAAAUAAGAGUGAAAUUUUGGUCUAACAAGAGAUUGAAGACAUGUCCCUUAUUAGUUACUAAAAAAUUCAAUUUCCAUUAGAUCAACGUUAAUUAUUAAAUAUUAGAUGACAAAAAUAAUAUUUAUAUACUAUAUUUUUUUUAAAAAAAGUAUAUAUUUUUAUUUAAAAUAUGAAAUAUGGAUUGAUGAUAUUUUGUUAAUUAUAUUAUAUCAUAUAUUUUAUAAUUUUUUAAUAUAUAUUGAAUUAAUUGAACUAAUUAGUAAUCUACCGGUUUGACCUCUAAUUUAUUGAUUCAGUCCUUCCAUGGAAUUGAUGUUCGGAUCAAUUUUGAUAACACUAAUUUCAUGUAUAAUUUUUUUAACAUAUAUUUUUUUUUAUAAAUUUUAGGAAAGCCAUAAAAUUAUUUUUAUAAUAAUUAAAACACUUUUAAAAAAGUGUGUGGGGGUGGGGGAUGGAAUGGCCCCUACGAGUCCCCUUUCCCUCGACCUCUAACUCUGUUAUUGCCUAACUAACUUUUCUUUUCUAAAUUUGAGCAUUUAAAUAAACACUACAAGUAUAACCAUUUAACUUUGAUCUCAUUUACACACAUUCUUCUUCCUCUGAAACGGACUUAAACAUCGGAGUAUUUGUAGAUGUACCACAUGAUAUUGUACUUUGCCGUUUGAAGUCAAGAUCUACACCGAAACUUUGUAUGAAUUAUAAUAUUGACUUAAUUAAUUAGUAGUUGAAAAAAGAAAGAAAAAGAAAAAAAAAUAUCAAUUCAAAAUUUUCUUAUUAAAAAAAAUUAAUAAAUUAAUAAUUAAUAUUUCUCUAUAAAAAUAUUUUGCCGUGACAAUGCAUCUAUGAUUCCACCUAACAGCAGAAAGAAUGUACUUAAGAAGGAAUCACCACUAAAACAUUUUGAAUUUAGUUAAAGUCAGCAUCAAGAAUCAAACACUUCGGAUCAGUUCAAACAUAAUCUUCUUUCGUUUAAUAUUUUUUUCACGUAUCAUGUGUGUGAUGAUUGACAUAUGGGUCAACAUGUGCCAACACCAAAUAUUGAAUAUGCAUCAUGCAUAUAUGUUUAAUUUCCUUAUAUGCAAUACAUUAAUUAAUUGAUAUAACUUUUUUAUUUAUUAUAUUUCUUACCCUGUAAUCUUUUUAUUGGUGUAUAUCAAUGUCGACGUACACACAUGAUGAUGAUGGAACACAGAUCUCUGAUUAUUAGCAGAAAACAAUGCUUCCAAACAGAUAAGAUAAGUAUCAUGUGUGCAAUCUGGCCUUUCGAUCAACUUCAGGCCAUGCUGUUUGGUUAUUUUUUAGGUGCUAGCUGUGUGAGUCAGUGAAUGUUAGUGUUUCUUCUGUGGUGCAUAACACAAGUCCACGUAGUGACCAAUUCAUUGUAUGGCUAUAUAUUGAACAUCCAGGUAAAGUACCACGUGGUUUGUGUACAUGUGCUUCCUUCAUUUACAAUCGAAAACAUAUAAAUAGUCAAAAAUAUUUUGUUUGAGUUGAUAUCUAAAGAUAUCAUAUUAUAUAAUUUUUUUUUAACUUAAUCAAUGAGAAAUUAUGUGAAAUGCAGUGAUCGACAAUAUAUGAAAUGCAGUAGUGACAAUAUGUACUAAAUUAUAUGAAAUUAUUAUGAUACAUAAGAACAAUAAAUAUAGACUAUUAGGAAGAAAGUUUAAUAAAUAUCUGUGGAGGUAAUUAAAUGCAUCCGUAAUUUUUUUUUUACAAACCCGUGAUUACUUAUUUAAGGUUAAUGGUAAACUGUAAACUUAUAUACAUUGCAUUUUUUUAUUUGUAGAUUAUUUUUUAUGCUGAUACAUAGAAAUUGAAGACACCUAAAAGAGAAUUUACAGCAAAUCAUACAUUUUUCUAAAUCAACUAAAUUAGAUAUCUUGGUGCAUUUGAACACCUAAGACAAUUUCCGGAAAAAAAAAUACACAUCCUAAAAUCUUGUAGUUAUUGUCCAGAUUACCACCCUAAAAUCUCAUUUUAUGUAUUACGGGGAACAAAAAAGUUAAACCCUAGUUGAGACAGAUGGUGUCAUUUGGAUUUUAGUACUAAAAAAUUGAAACCUAAAAUCAUCACUUUUUUUUUUCUUCAGAAAUCAGCCAGGCUCGCCAGUGUAUGGCCUUUGGGCUUCUGUUUCUCGUCUUUGGGCGAUUAGCCUUUUGCUUCUGUGAUGUAAUGACCCAAAGCAAUAAAACUUAAAAAAUUGGCGUCUUUCAAAAAUAAUAAAUAAAAAAAAGAAAAUUUGCACCAGCCGGGAAUCGAACCCGGGUCUGUACCGUGGCAGGGUACUAUUCUACCACUAGACCACUGGUGCUUGUUGCCUUAUUCUUUUUAUUUAUUAGAUAAAUAAACAUAAGUCCAUGAUUAGAUUGGUUUAUUCACCUUACAUUAGGAUGUGUGUGAGGACAAUAAAAAUAGGAAUGAAAAAUUGUACUGCUUCCAUCUGUCGUGAAAUUUCAGCCAUAAAUUCUCACAUUCCAUAAUUUACCAUGCAAUAUAUAUAUACUUUGGCAGUUGUUGUGAAAGCCUGAAACCCCUUAUAACUUAUUCAUGUCAUUUAUACAAUUUCUAAUCUCAUAUUUCUAAGAAAAGUUUAAAGUCAAAACUUUUAUCAUUUUAUUUUACUUCGUUUUCUAUUGUUCAUUAAUUAUUUUAUUUAUUGGUCAUACAUUAUAUUCAUCCAUCGAGUUAGAUUCGCUCAAUACAUAUAAUAUAUUUAAAAGAGUAAAUUAUAGUCACAAUUUUUUUGUUUUAUGUGAAAUGUGUCUAACAUUACUUCUUUUUGGGGAUUUACAGAAAAAUUCCUAAUUAUUUGGUUUUAGUAUUUAACAAGUCAGGUCAUUUUUUAAAAAAUUAACAUCAAAUCAAUCUAUGUAAAUAAAUUAUUGUUGUAUUAAUGGUCUUACACUUAAUAUUUUGAUAUUACAUACUUGUUAAUUUAUUUAAUACUUAAAUUCAUUAGUUUACAAAUAAGUUUCAUUUAUGUACUUAUUUAGAGGUAUGUUUGUAAGUUAUAAAUAAAUGAACCUUAUUAUAAAGUUUUUUUUUUUUGAAAGGCAAGCAUCCAACUUAUAUAAAUGAUAACAGCCACAAAAUAUAGCCCAAAGAGAAAAUACAAUAAUCAAGAUCCAAGAAAAGACAGAAAUAAAAAAGAAUCAAGAAAUGAUUCAACUAGCAAAGGAUAAACCACUUGAACAAAGCCCUUUGUACUUGGACCAAGUCCAAGACAAAGUUUGGAUAUGCCAAAUCACAUUCUCUAUUAAACAAGUUUUGUCAAGCUUUUAGAAAGGUUAGGUCAAAUAAAAAUCUUCGUACUAAGUAAAUAGUUCAAUUUAAUUUGAAAAACAUGUCGACUCUAUCCUUAUAAAAUUUAACUUAAUUUUUUUCUCCCUUAACUGUAUUGGCUUAGAGAACAUUUUUUUAAUAAAAAACAAAAAAAAUAUGAAACCAGAUAUAAUUGAAUAUUACAUAUUACAAUUAGUCAUAACUCGUGAAUAUAAUUACGUAUCACAAUUAAUUAUACUAUGUAAUUAUAAUUGGCAAUAUAUAAAUUAACUUCUUGUCACCUAGGAUGCUAGCAAAAUACUCCCUGUCCAUUUGAAAGGAGUAUAUGUUCUUACAAUUAAUUUGCCAACAACUAAUUAACUGAUAUUGAAUUUAAACAUUUGAAAUUUGAAUGGACCAUCUCCCUUUCCAUUUUUCUUCUUGGGAACUAGAUCUGGAUUCUGGAGGAGUUAAGCCUCAAAAGUAAAAAUCAUACAAGAAAGGAAACUCCAAAACUAACAUGCAUGCCAAAGAAACUUGAACAAUAUAGAACAAUAGCAAUUCGUCAGCCAAUUCCAACUACCCUAUUUAAUUUCCUUCGCCAUAUGCACGAAAAUACAACAAAGACAAGCUUCCUUGAUCAAAGUUUGUUGCCUAUGAAGCAAUGCGUUACAGCAGUGUAUACCAUCAUUAACUAAUUCGACAGCUAACCUAGCUUGAAUCACCAACCAGUUGCCCAAUUAAAGUUAUGAUAUGACUUGCCAGAUUUACAGAUGUACUAUAAGAACAAAAUAGAUAUUAGUUAAAAAUAAUAAACUUAACUUAAUUUCUUAAGAUUUUUUCAG
rnacentral:lncRNA from 1 species